rnacentral:lncRNA from 1 species
GACUCCACACCUUCAGCCCAAAGUGCGCAGGUGCAUAAAAACCAAGUGCAGCAACUUCAGCAAAUUGCAUAAGUCUGAAAUCAAUCUGUUAAGCACCUAAAACUCACCUGAGGCCCCCGGGACCUCAACCAAACAAACCAACCAAUCCUAAAACAACAUACGAACUUAGUCGAGCACUCAAAUCACAUCAAACAGCGCUAAAGACAUCAAUCAACGUAGUCGUCCUCACAUAGUUCCAACGACAACCCAAAUUUUAAAACUUAAGCUCCUACUUAGUGACUAAGUAUCCCAAAACACUCUGAAACUCAAAAUGAAUCAUCCCAGCAAAUCACAAUAGCAGAAAUAGAUACAGGGGAAUCAAUUAAUAGGGGAUCAGGGCUCUAACUCUCAAAACUACCGGCCGGUUCGUGGCAUCCUCUCAUUCUUAAAACAUCCGUUCGUCCUUGAAUGAGAAUAGAGAUAUACCUAAAGUGGUGAAAAGUUGAGGAUAACAACUGCACAUAUCCUGCUUAGUCUCCCAAAUCGUCUCCUCAACCGGCUAAUCUCGCCACUGAACCUUCAUUGAUAUAAUGUUCUUUGACCUUAGCUUUCGAACCUACUUAUCCAAUAUAGUCACUGGCUCCUCAACAUAAGAUAGAUCUUUGUCCAACUGGACUGAGCUGAAAUCCAACACGUGAGACGGAUCACCGUGAUACCUCCGGAGCUUCGAAACAUGAAAUACCGGAUGAACUCCUACCAAGAUGGGAUCUAAGGCAAGCUCCCCAACACGCCACAACACCUCAAAGGGACUAAUAAACCUUGGGCUCAACUGGCCCCCUUUUCGAAUCUUAUAACGCCCUUCAUAGGUGAAACCUGAAGCAAGACUCGCUCUCCAAUCAUAAAUGAAAUAUAGCGAACCAUCGGGUCCGUAUAAUUCUUCUGUCUGGACUGGGCUGUGUGAAGUCUAUCUUGAAUUACCUUAACCUUCUCCAAGGCAUCCUGACCAAGUCUAUGCCCAAUAAUCUAGCCUCCCCGGCUCGAACCAACCCACUAGGGACCGGCAUUGCCUACCAUACAAAGUCUCAUACGUGCCAUCUGAAUGCUAGAAUGAUAAUUGUUGUUAUAGGCAAACUCUUGAAGUGGAAAUAACUGAUCACACAGAACCUCCAAACUCCAUCACACAAGCACGGAGCAUAUCCUCGAGAAUCUGAAUAGUGCGCUCGGAUUGUCUGUUCGUCUGUGGGUGAAAUGGUGUGCUCAACUCCACCUGAGUACCCAACUCCUACUAUACGGCUCUCAAGAACUGUGAUGUAACCUACAUAUCCCAAUCAUAAAUGAUAGAUACCCCACGUCAUGAAUUCUAACAAUCUCACGGAUAUAAGGCAAGCCAACUGCUCGGAAGAAUAGGUCACAGGAAGGAAAUGAGUUGACAUAGUCAACCUAUCAACAAUCACCCAAACUGCAUAAAACUUCCGAUGAGUCCGUGGGAGUCCAACAAUGAAUCCAUAAUGAUCCGUUAUCCUUUUCAAUCCGGAAUCUCUAAGCAAUCCACUCGGUCACUGAUGCUCAUAUUUCACAUGCUGGCAAUUUAGGAACCGAACAACAUACUUCACUAUAUCUUUCUUCAUCCUCCUGCACCAAUAAUGCUGCCUCAAGUUUUGAUAGAUCUUCAUGGCACCUGGAUGAAUAGAGUACCGCAAUCUAUGAGACUCCUGAAGAAUCAACUCACACAAACCAUCUAUAUUAGGCACACACAGCCUGCCAUGCAUCCUUACCGCACCAUCAUCCCAAAUAGUGACCUCCUUGGCAUCACUGUGCUGGACCGUGUCCCUAAGGAUAAGCAGAUGGGGGUCAUCAUACUGACGCUCCCUGAUAAGAUCAUAAAGAGAAGACCUAGAAACCACACAAGCCAAUACUCGACUAGGCUAAGAAAUAUCCAAUCUCAUGAACUAGCUGGCUAAGGCCUAAACGUCCAAUGCCAUGGGCCUCUCUGUUGCUGGUAAAUAAGCUAAACUCCCCAAACUCUCUGCUCGGCGACUCAAAGCAUCUGCCACCAUAUUGGCUUUCCUUUGAUGGUACAAAAUAGUGCUACGAUAAUCCUUAAGAAGCUCCAACCACCUCCUCUAAUGCAAAUUAAGAUCCUUCUGCUUGAACAGAUAUUGCAAACUCCGAUGAUCAGUGUAGAUCUCACAAGGAACACCAUAAAUAGUACCUCCAAAUCUUCAAGGCAUGAACAAUAGCAACUAACUCAAGGUCGUGGACAUGAUAGUUCUUUUCAUGCACCUUUAGCUGCCUGGACGUGUAAGCAAUCACCAUAUGAUCCUGCAUCAACAUGGUGCCAAGUCCAUCGCGCGAUGCAUCACAAUAAAAUGUAUAAAACCCUGAACCUGAAGGUAAUACCAGUACUAGAGCUGUAGUCAAAAUUGUCCUGAGCUUCUGAAAGUUCUCCUAACACUCUUCCAUCCACCUGAAUGGAGCACCAUUCUGGGUCAGCCUGGUCAUAGUUGCUACAAUAGAGGAAAAUCCAUCAAGAAAUCGACGUUAAUACCCUGCCAAACCAAGAAAACCCUAGAUCUCUAUAGCUGAGGACGGUCUGGGCCAACUCUUGCACUACUUCCACUUUAUUCAAAUACACCUUGAUCCCUUCACUCGAUACCACAUGACUCAAGAAUGCCACGGAAUCUAACCAGAACUCACAUUUUGAGAACUUUGCAUAUAAUUUCUUUUCUCUCAAGGAGUGAAGCACAGUCCUCAGGUGCUGCUCAUGAUCCUCCUAACUUCGGGAGUACACCAGAAUGACAUCAAUAAAGAUAAUGAUGAACGAGUCAAGAUAAGGCCAGAAUACAGUAUGCAUCAAAUGCAUACAUACGGCUAGGGCGUUGGUCAGCCCAAAUGAUAUAACAAGGAACUCGUAAUGACUAUACCGAGUCUUGAAAGCAGUCUUCGGGAUAUUUAGACCCCGAAUCUUCAAUUGAUGAUAACCGGGACGCAAGUCUUUGAAAACACUCAGGCACCCUGUAACUUAUUAGAUAGGUCAUCAAUACAAGGAAAAGGAUACUGGUUCUUCACCGUAACUUUGUUUAACUUGCGAUAAUCAAUGCACAUAUGCAUAGAACCAUCCUUUUUCUUCAUAAACAAGAUAGGAGAACCCUAAGGCGAUAUAGUGGCCGAAUUAAGCCCUUAUCAAGAAAUUCAUGUAAUUUUACCUUCAACUCCUUUAACUCAGGAAGGGCCAUACGAUAAGGAGGAAUAAAGAUUGGCUGAGUUCUCCCUCCAUGAAGCGCCGUGACGACACCUAGUCUCUAAGACUAGGUAAGCCUAACAUUUGCGGAAAAAGGAAUAAAAACAUAAAAACUUAUUAACUAACAGGUAAAUUUAAAUAAGGAAAUGAGAUACCGCUCGACAUAUACAAUAAUCACUCCACAACAGUACAUAAACUCUCUCUAAACCCGGAAUAUCAUAAGUCACAACCUAAGAAAGGAACACUACUGCAAUACUCCGGAGUCCAAUAAAAGAAGAAAAUACAAGAAAGGGUGACAUAGGGUGGAAUAGAUACGGUCUUCGAGGUCUGCGGACACAGCAGAUAUACCUUGAAAUCUCUACAGCUGCCUCGCCUCACUGGUAAUUUGGCUGAUAAGCGGUACCUGGAUCUUCACACAAAAACAUGUGCAGAAAAGGUCAUGAGUACACAACAACGGUACCCAGUAAUUACCAAGCCAAACCUUGGUCGAGUAGUGACGAGUCAAGUCAGGGCCCUACUGGUAUAAAUAUAACAAAAUAAGACAGAAGAAUAUUACAGUAAAAUAAAUAGAAAAAUCUAAUAGGAAUAGAAUUCAAUGGAAGCUAACAUCUUAGAACACAUUAAUAGCAACAGGGUGAUCUCCCGGGAUACCGUCUCGUAUUCCCAAACAUAAAUGUGCAGGGGGAUCUUCCAGAAUACCGUUCUUAGUCCCAAAUUAUGCAAUGCUGGGGGGCUCUCAGAAUACGGUUCUGUAGUCCCAAAGUAAAUUUGAAGUACAUGGGAGAAUAUCGUUCCGUAGUCCCAAAGUAAAUAUGCAACUCAAUCAAUAUAAACAAAAAUUUCAACAAGGAAUCUGCAACUAAGACUAAGUUCAUAUCAAAGAAAAUAGGUAAUUUUCACUAAACAUGUUGCACAUAGUUCAAAUAAAUAGUUAAAACACGUAGACAUGUUUUUCGAAUCUAAACAAGGUACUUACAUAUACUAGUGUAGUUUCAACAAGGAAAAACAGACUAAGACUUAGUGAAAAAGGGAGUUUUACAGCACAUAGCCCGUGUACAUACUCGUCACAUCAUGUACAUGGUGCUCACAUAUCAAAUAGUACUAGAAUCCUAAGGGGAGUUCCCCCGCAGAAGGUUAGACAAGCCACUUUCCUCGAACUAAGCUCAAAUCAAUCCGUCACAAUGCUCUUUCCACGAAUAUCGGCUCCGGAUGGUCCAAAUCUAGCCAAAACAAUUACAUAACAUACAGAUAGAUACAAGUAACUAAUCGCGCUAAUGAAAUCAGAGCUAAGGAAAGAAAAUAUAAAAACACCCAAAAAUCUUCCCGGGCUCAUGUCUCGAAAUUGGGUAAAAGUUACAAAUUAAGAACACCCAUUCACUCACGAGUACGCUCGUACAAAUAUUAUCCAAAUCCGAUGUCAAACUCCCACUCAAAACUCAUAAAUUUGAUUGGGUAACUUUUCCUCCCAUUUUCCCAACUUUCUCACUCAAAUUCCUUGAUUAAAUGAAGGAAACAAAUAUAUUUUAAUGAAAUGCAACCAAAAUCGAGUAAGGAAUCAUUACCCACAAGCUUCCUCUAAAAAUCCCUCAAAAUUUUGCAUCAAUCCGAGCUCUCUAGGUCAAAAUAUGGAGAAUGAAAUCAAAACCGAGGUUUUGCCCUUUUUCUGCUAGUCAAACCACACAUGCGGACCCUUCUUCGUACCUGUGGCGCCGCACCUGCAGAAAUUCCAUCACAUGUGUAGAAUUCACUUAAGUGGGCUGGGACAGCAUCUGCGAGCACCGGGUCACACCUGCAAGCCCGCUCCUGCGAUCCCUGUUUAUGCGAGAUCCUCAUCGCAUAUGCGGACCCAAUUGGACAUGGUCAAAAUCCACUUCUACGGCUUCACACCUGCGGCUCAAAGUGCGCAGGUGCAAAAACACCAAGUGCAGCAACUUCAGCAAAUUGCAUGUCUCAAAUAAAUCCGUUAAGCACCUGAAAUUCACUCGAGGCCUCGGGACCUCAACAAAACAUACCAACCAAUCAUUAAACACCUUACAACUUAGUCGAGUACUCAAGUCACAUCAAACAAUGCUAAAAACAUCAAUCAAUCUCCGUUUCAACCUUAAGGAAAUUAAAACUUCCAAAUUCCACAACUGGUGGAUAAACCAACCAAACCACAUCUGAUUGACCUCAAAUUUUUGCACAUAAAUCAUAUUCAACACUGCGGGCCUACCUAACUUCCAGAAUCAAAUUCUGGCCCUGAUAUAAAAAAUUCCACUACCAGCCCAAAACUCCAAAAAUUCGACUUUCGCCAUUUCAAGCCUAAAUAAGCUACGGACCUCCAAAACACAAUUCGGACAUACCCCCAAAUCCAAAAUCAGCCAAUGAAAUUGAUGGUACUCCAUUCUAGAGUUGUCUUCAUGCAGUUCCGACUACGGUCCAAAUUUUAAGACUUAAGCUCCCAUUUAGGGAUUAAGUGUUCCAAAAUAUCCGAAUCUCACAAUGAAUAAUCUCGGAAAGUCACAAUAGUAGAAAUAGAUACAGGGAAAGUAGUUAAAAGGGGAUCGGGACACUAACUCUCAAAAUGACCUACCGGGUCAUUACAGUCUUUAAAGAAGGGUGAAUAAAAGAAGUUGCAUGCUUGUUAGCUAACGGUCAACACCAUCCAUAGUCAUUGGUGUUUUUUUAUCAGUCCGAAGUAGAUUAGUAUUUGGUAGGUUGACUUUUUAGUUUCUUGAGGAAAAGUAAGAUAUGUGGCACUUUUGAUACUAAUUACACAGACUUUAGCUCAUCUUUUAAUGUAUUAUAAGUCAUUUUCUUAUAUAGUUUUAGUAUUUUGCAGAAAAACAUACUUGAAGAACCAAGAACAUGAAAAAGAUGAUAAAAAUCCAUGGAAAGGCAAAAUGUGGUAGGUCUGUGAUCUCAAAAGUGAUAUGGGACCGUAGACCAAUCGCAAAGUGAAGUAGACCAUCUCAGUUUCUGAGAGUCAAUUCUGCGAUCCAUUGUGCGGUACGGUAUAUGGUCGCAAAACCGACAUAUGGUCGCAAAACCGAUAUGCGAUUGAAAUCUACAAAUCUUUGAGAUUAAUUAUGCAGAGAAAAUGAAGAUGUGCGGACCGGGAAAACAUUAUGCGACCCGUUUUGCGGUAUCAGAUUUGAUCUGCAUGGUCAUUUUUGUCACUUUUUUACCACGACUUUUACCCCAUUAUAAAUAGAAUGAUUAGGGUCUUGAUGGACCAUCUUUUCUGAAAAAAGGGCUACACUUAGAGCAUUGAAUACACCAUUGAUUUGAAAGCUUUUGAAAAGAGAAUCUUGUCUCCUUUGUAAGAUUUUUGACUUUGUUUAUUACUUUGUUCUUGGAUUCUAGUAUGAGUAGCCAACUUUAAAUACUAAGGUUGUGGACCCUAAAUGAGUGUAAUGUUAAUGGGUCUUCACCAUUGAAUGUAUAAAUAAUGGUUCAUUGAUAUUUAUUCAUUUCUCAUGCUUUAUUUAUUGUUUAUGGUAGAAAACAUUGAGUAGUACCAUUUUACUCUCUAUUUACUUGGAAAAGUGGGUUAAGGUUUGAUAUAAUUGAAUAGCAAGAACUCAAGGCUUUAAACUUUAUUUAAUAGAAUCGCUUAGGGAUAAGUGGUUUUUACUUGGCAUAAAUUGGUUAUUCGUAAUUGUAACUUUUUUAUAUUUGGGAAAAUCAUAAAGAGAAAUUACUUCCUAAUUGUUGAAAAAUAUUGGGUAGUCAUUUAGGAACCAUUUUCAUAUCAAAGGACCUUCCAUUAGAAAUAUUAUCAUAUUAACACUGAUGGCAUUACAUUCCAUUAAUGGGGACACAACCUUGGUUUUCUUAAUCAAAUUAAUCACACUCUUUUAACAAAAUAGUUUUCUUGAUAAUUCACAAUUACAAUACUCUUUUUAAACUAACGUGUAGAAUUACGACUUAAGUCAAGUUUCACACUACUCAAGUAACUUUUUCACACUAUUCCAGCAGGAUUCAACCCCAACAUAGUUGGAUUAUUAUAUUUGACAUGGACCGCCUUAUACCAUUUAUUUAGGUAUAAUUUCAUCCCAAGUCCAUCUACUAACUUAUACACACUCCCAUCUGUAAACAUUGCUUGCUAAAACCCACACAAACCCAUGCCAAGGGGCAAUGUACAAGCCCAUGAUAUUGGUUCUGUCCGGCAUCACGUCUCAAUAUUAAGGUCUAUCAAACCACCCCCACUAGUUGAACUCGAUGUCCCCGUCGAGGCUGACUUCAAGUAGUCCUCUAUUUGUUUUUCACAUUGCCACAACAAAGCACUCUUUUUCCAAAUCGCAUCUGCCUUGGGCUUUCAUUUCCAUUGAAUCAGAAACUCUAUCUGCCUAUUCUUUUUAGGCAUCCCAAGAACCCGGCAUUUAAGAAUCUUCUUAAUUUCUUCUUGAAGUUAAGUGCGCACCUCAGAAGGAGCUCUCUUUGUUUUAUGUUUGUCCGGGCCUUUAGGAUCUUUAACAUAAGGCCUUAGAAAACUCACAUGGAAAGUUGAAUGUAUCUUUAUUCUUUCAGGAAACUUCAAUUGAUAAGCAACUUCACCAACUUUUGCAGCAACUUCAAAAGGACCAUCAUACCUUGAAACCAAGGCUCUAUGUCUAACUCGCUGUCAAUCUUUUUCCAAAUAUGUAGAGUAAGCUUUAACUACACCUUAUCAGCGACUUUGAACUCCAAGGAGAGCAUGUUCAGGUCAUUAUAUUUCUUCAUUCAUUUAUAUGCCUUUUUCAAGCUAUAUAUUGCUUCCUUGAUCAUAGUUUGUCUAUCCCAACCAUAGGGGUAGGUAGCUGGACAGUUACCCCUAGUCUUUUGUUGUGAAAUUGUCGUUGGUUGUGUAGGCUUCUUCCCAAAAACAAUCUCGAACGGACUUAUCUCCGUUGCUAAAGACUUGUGCAAAUUAUAUGAGAAUUGUGCAUAAUCUAGCAAAUCUGGCUAGUUGCAUUGACUAGCAGUCACAAAGUACCUCAAGUAUUCCUCCAACAAAAUGUUUAUUUCUCUCGGUUUGGCCAUCAGUUUGGGGAUGAUUAGACGUUGAAAACUUCAAGUUCGUACCCAUCAAGUUGAACAAAUAAGUCCCGAACCAGCUUGUAAAUCGAGCUCCCUAUCACUAAUAACAUUCUUUGGUAUUCCAAAAUAUUUUAACCACAUCCUUGAAAAGGUCAUUCUGUAGGGGCAGAAAUAAAAAUAACAUAUUUAGAAAACCUAUCAACCACGACCAUGAUCGAAGAGAACCCAUUAACCUUAGGGAAACCGCUGAAUAAAUCCAUCGAAAUAGAUUGCCAUGUUUCUUUUGGAAUUGGCAGAGAUUGUAUAAAAGCCACCUCCUUCUUCCGCUCCGUUUUAUCAAGAUGACAUACAAGGCAACUCUUGACAUAAACUUCCACAUCAUGCUCCAUCUUGGGCCAAAAAUAGUAUCAGGACAGUAUGGCCAUCAUCCUUUCAAUCCCUGGAUGACUAGCACAUAGAGCAUCAUGCAACUCUUUCAAUAGUUCACUAUGCAACCCAUCGCCAAGUGGCAGUACGAUUAUCUCCCCUUAGAAAUAGAGGAGAUCAUCCUUGAUCUGGUACUACCUUUCCUUCCAUCUCUCAUAUGAUUCAUUGUUUUGAUGUUGUCACGCCCUAACUCCGGGGAGCGACCAGCGCUCAACCGAGUGAACCCGGUUAAGCAAGCCUAUUAGAUUUUAUUCUUCCUAAAUUCAUCUUUGAAUAAAUAGGAGAUGUACUCCAUUAAUCAUACUCUAAAAGUAUUUCAUUAACAACUUCCAUUUCAUUUUCUUUAGCAGCUUCAACCAUAAUUUCCAAAAUAUUAUAAUUUUAUAGAUAUGAUAAAAAAACAUGUUUGCCAAAUAAAAAAUAUUUAUAAUUCAAUUCCCAAUAUCAACCACCAACCGUAACCUAUCCACAAAGCAUCUAAGUGUAACUGAAGAGUAAUAUGAAAAUACUAGCAACAAGGCCCCAACUAUACCUCAAAACAUGGUAAACAUAUGAACAAAAGAUGCACUAUAUGACAUCGGGAUGAAAUGGGGCUCACCAAGUCUGGUGGGAAGAUGAUGAUGAUGUACCAUUAGCUGCGCUCAACACUGUCUGUUAUGGAACCACCUACAUCCAUUUAAAGAUGUAGCCCCCCCUCCAUCUACUAACUUNNNNNNNNNNNNNNNNNNNNNNNNNNNNNNNNNNNNNNNNNNNNNNNNNNNNNNNNNNNNNNNNNNNNNNNNNNNNNNNNNNNNNNNNNNNNNNNNNNNNNNNNNNNNNNNNNNNNNNNNNNNNNNNNNNNNNNNNNNNNNNNNNNNNNNNNNNNNNNNNNNNNNNNNNNNNNNNNNNNNNNNNNNNNNNNNNNNNNNNNNNNNNNNNNNNNNNNNNNNNNNNNNNNNNNNNNNNNNNNNNNNNNNNNNNNNNNNNNNNNNNNNNNNNNNNCCCCCCCCCCCCAAUAAAAAGGACGUUAGUACUGUCGAAUAGUACUAGUAUGUAAAGCUAAAAUACCAUCUUAAUAGCAUGAAUAAUGAAAUAAAGAGGAACAUUCACGAUGUACAAUAAGAGCUUCAAAUGAUACUAAAAACACCAAAUAAGGAUACAUAAGUUCUCAAGUCAAUUUACAUUUUAUUAGAUUGAUGCCAUGUACCACAAUCCAUAAUACCAUCGUUAUCACCAUUUGAGACAUCAACCAUAUCCACAAUUUCAAUCAUCAGUUCCAGUACAAUUAUCACCAUGUGUGCGACAUGGUGUCCGAUCACUGCCCGAUCGGCUAGGCCAUCUCACUUGAGACAGCAUCCUUUCAAUCGAUUAUCUCACUUCACUUUUUCCCAUCUUUCAAUACAUUAGAACAAGUGGCCUCAUUUAUAAGUCAUUUUUGGCCCUUGGAGAUAUUUUACAAUUCAAGUUUUCCUUUUUUACACAUUCAGUAACACUAUCAUCAGCGAUAAUAAGGCCUAUAAUGUAAAGCAUUUGUACACAUAAAGGGAAGACUUAGAAAAUCAUAAGCACAUAGAGGCCUUUCAUACAAAUUGGCAUAACAAUCUUUAUUUGAUUUUUGACAUAAAUCCUUAACCUUUCUCAACACAUAUUCCAUAUUUUUAAACACUUUCUCAAAUGACAUGAUGACAUGAUAAAUAUUUAGAGCAACUAUUGAAAAUGAAUCUGUCAACACAAAACAUUACGGCAAUCAAUUCUAGUAUGAUUCAUUUAGGGACUUACACCAAUUAAACGGACAUCAAGGUUCGAUUCUAAGAAGAAGCGGGCUUAGCCAUACAUAGUUGGAUUCAGCCGUUUAGUGUUAUUAAAAUUCCCCACUAGUCUUACUACUUCAAUCUACAUCAACAUAAUUUAAUUGGACCAAUAUUAGUAAAACUUUCCAAGUUUUUGAUCAUUUCGGUAUUUUAUCAAACACCUAAAGUGCAUAGAAUUCUACUAGAUGGUGUUCCUUCAUACAACAAUCCUUCCUUCCCACCAACAAUAUAUAAUACAAUAUCCUCUGACUACUAAUUACCUUCUUUAGCGCCAUUAUAAUCAACAGUGAGCUCACAUCCAUAAAAUUUUACUAAUUAACUCAUUACAAAAUCUCUACAACACCCAAUAAUCUAUUUUAAGUAUUUAUGAUUCCAAUCACCAUCUCAUAAGUGAUAGUACUUAUUGCGUGCUUAUAUAUUCACUAACAAUACAUACAUGUAGGUUUAAGGGUGGAUGAUUACCUCUUGUAGAUCAAAUCUUGAAAGUCAAAUUUUGGGUUAUUCUUGAGAUUUUGAAGAAAUCCUAUGAAAUCCAAUCAAAACUUUGUUGUAACUAGUGAUUGAAAAGUGAAAUCAUCAUAAAAAUUUCACAUUUAGUAUGUAUUGGAAGCCUUGGCCGGAUAGGUGAUGGAAAAAAAGGCCCUAGUCUUGAAAUUCUUUUAUUUUUCUCUCUCCUGCCUCAGGUAUUAAUAGGCCUAGUUACAGUAUUUUUCAACUGGUGAUAUUCUUAUGCUAUAAGGCUUUAGCUCACUGGUUUGCUAAAAUCAGGUACAAUAUUUUUCAACUGGUGUUAUCCUUAUGCUAUAAGGCAUUAGCUCACUGCUUUGCGAAAAUCCUCAGCUUCCCUCCUGGUUAUAGCUGUGCUAUGAGGAGAUAGCUCACUGCAUUUCUUUAGUCUUAUUGAUUUGGAAUUAACAUCCAAGUGUUUCUCCAUUAUUACAACACUCAACAUAAAUAAAAUAAUUAUCUCCAAGUAUCCAAAUAACUUUAUCCACUCCAGUAAUUCUCACGUGGUUCGGGUCUAAUUUAAAGUAUAUUCAUAAGCUCAAAAUUGCACAAAUUAGCAAUAGAAAUUCACAGGACCUUAGAUGUUGGCCUACCUCGACACCACAAACCUCGAGUUCUUGGAAAAAUUAUAUGGGGCCUUAUAGAUAUACAAUGGAUAAUAGCAACACACGACUUGAUUUUAUCAAGAAAUUCAGAUUCAAGUCGAGUAAUGGAAUAAACAGCAGCAAAUACCUCUUUUUGGCUUAACGCAUCAGCAACGUUGUGUUUUCCUGGCUUGUGCUCCCAAAUAAAAUCAUAGUCCGUCAAGAAUUCAUGCCAACGUGCCUGCUUCGGACGUAGCUUUUUCUCUAUCUUGAAAAAUGUAUUAGCCACAUUAUUUGUCCUCGCAACGAAUUUAGUUCCCAGCAAAUAAUCCCGCCAAAUCUGCAAGCAAUGGAUUACUACAAAAGAAAAUUUUCAUGAGUUGAGUAUCUUUCCUCCCCUUUAUUUAAUUUUCUGCUCUCAAACACUACUUGGUGGCCUUCUUAUACCAACACACCUCCAACAGCCUCGUCGGAAGCAUCAGUAUGAACUUCAAAGGGCAGUUUAAAAUUAGGAAGCUACAAGACAGGUUCAAAGACAAUAGCUUCUUUCAGCAUGUCAAACACACCAUUGAAUUUUUCAGACCAUGCCCACCUAGCAUUCUUCUUCAAUAAAACAAUUGAUGAGGCCAAUGUGCAUAGGAUUUUCCUGCUCGUGCUUAGUCAAAUUCUAAUAUAGUUUAAGAUAUCGUCCCACAGAGAUUGCAACAUCUAGCUACAAACUUAUAUAUUCUUACUACUAUUUGAGAGAACCAAAUUGAUGAAGUUUUGUUUAUUGAAGAUCUAAAUUGCUUAAGUUGAAACAAAAUAACUUUCGGAAGAUUUGUAUUUAACUAGAGUUGGGAAUCAAUGAAACUAUUUGAGAGAAGCAAAUUGAUGAAGUUUUGUUUGUUGAAGAUCUAAAUUGCUUAAGUUGAAACAAAAUAACUUUUGGAAGAUUUAUAUUUAAAUAGAGUUGAGAAUCAUUGAAUUCACUCGAUAGCGUGAUAACAAUAAAAUCUUAGGUUCUACAUGUAUUUCUCUUAGGAAUAAUUGUUUAUUGCUAAUACAAUUAUAUUUGCUCACCAAGAAAUAAUCAAUUAAUAACACUCCGUGAGAAUUAUAUAAAUAAAUUGAUAUAUGACUUGUGACGAUUAAACUGAAAUAAUUUUCUUACCUGAAUUGUGCUAUAAGAUAGUUAAAACCUCUUGCGAUUAAUUUUUACUAAAAGUCAAUAAUCUUGCCAAGUACAACUCCUCCGUGAGAAUUAGAAUGGAAGUAAGCAAGAUUACAGACUCAAUUGAUAUAUGACUCGUGACGAUUAAACUGAAAUAAUUUAUUGCCUGAAUUGUGCUAUAAGAUAGUAAAAACCUCUUGCGAUUACUUUUUACUAAAAAUCAAUAAUCUUGCCAACUAUAACUCCUCCGUGAGAAUUAGAAUGGAAGUAAGCAAGAUUACAGACUUGGAAUGAUAGCUUAAAAAGAAUUACUCUCCCUCUAUUAUUUUACCAAUAGAUAUCGUAUAUUAAUUUUGCUUCGUGAGAAUUACAAAAUUGACAUAUAACUAACUUUGGAGAAUAAAUAGAUAGAAGUGAUAAUAAUUAAUUAAAACUAACAUUCAGCACAAUAUAGAAAUAUAAUUAGAAAGUUUCAGGUCAAGCAUGUAGUAAAAUUGAGAUUAANNNNNNNNNNNNNNNNNNNNNNNNNNNNNNNNNNNNNNNAGCAUGUAGUAAAAUUGAGAUUAAUAUUAUAACGAUAUCGAGCUUCAUCAACUAUCCCAACAAAAGAGAUUACUCCAUUAUGGAGUAUUUAAAUCUCAUAUAAAAAGGAAUUCUUAACAUAAUAUCAACACUCUUAGAAAAUUCCCAAAAGAGUACAAGAUAAAGUGAAAUAUAUAAAGAAAGAAGUAAAGACUAAAUUAGAAAAAAGUUAUUUUGCUAGGUACGUAUGAUCUUCCUCUCUUCAACACAAAUAUAACAUACUAUUUAUAGAAAUUAAAUAUCAUAAGGUGCCAUGUUGCCUCAUGCUUCUUUUAUCAUGAUGCAUUGUGCUUCUUUUGCCAUGAUGCCUCGUGUUUCUUUCGCCAUGAUGCCUCGUGCUUCUUUAUUAUUCCUUUAUUUUCUUUAUCAUGAUAUUUUUAUUUCCUGCAAAAUACUAUUAGAAAAUACAGAUAAUUGACAUAUUAUAUAUAUUAUUUAAAAUAAUUUAUUUUAAGUAUAUAAUAUAUGAAUAUUUUAAAAUCAUCAAACUCCCCCACACUUGAAUUUUUGCUCGUCAUCGAGCAGUAAUUUUAUUAAUAUUGUUGUUUCUUGUAGAGUAGAAAAGUAAAAAAAAUAAAAUUUCACAUAAAAUUCAAAACCUAUAAGUUUUUCAAGUCGUCAAACCUUUACCUUGUUUCUAUUUCUGCUUUUGUUUGCCAAAAACUUUCAACUCCUCUUUUGAGAUUGAUAACAUUAUGAUUACAAUUUCGAGUUUUUCAAAUUUUGUCCAUAGGCUUUCCCUUCAUGUCAGUGUCCACUAAUGUAGAAUCAAAACUAAUUUUAAAAUUAUUUUAGGACUUUUUCAGGCUUGCAAUAAUAGGUUUAAUGUUGGUAAGGUAAAAGAAUAUAUUUGUAGUGACUUUGUUCCAUCCAGCUUUAUUAUGAGAGCAGAUUAUUUUUACCAAAGUAACUAUGUACAAGUCAACACAAGAUAUUAACUCUAGAGAUUGAGAUAAAGGUACCGAUCUCCAAUUUCAUAAUUAAUAUCACUUAAGUCAUCAUUUCUCUCAAUAGAUUUCUUAAAUUCAAGCUUCUUGAACCAAUAAUUUAUUUACAAGUAUAUACACCUUGUUUUCCUCUUCUUCUUCUUCUUCUUCAUUUUUUUAGUAGUGAAAUAGAAAAUUUACUCCAUAAGUAUUCCUUCAACGCUUGCUUUAAUAAUCAUUUUUGCUCAACUAUAGCCGGAAGGAGUAGUAUUAAUUUUUUUUGUAAGAUAAACCAAUAUGGUGUAUCAAUAAAAGUUGGUUUAUCCCUCUUUUUUUUUUCUUUUUCUUCUUUUGGUUCAAUGUUGGGUGCUAAAAGGUAAAAUAUAAAUAUUUGUGGUUAAAAAUGGAUAGGCUAACAAUGGUGUCAAAGAAUGCCUAAUUUUAUUCUAAAAAAGUGUUGUCUAGAAUUUCGCCUUGAUAGACAUUUGGGGCAAGUUCUAGCAGAAUUUUAUUGAUUCUACCUGUUGAGAUCAUAAUGCUUCUCAAUUCCAACACUUUCUCAAAUUUGGAGAUACUCGUUCUUUCCUUCACAAAAAUAAAAUCACAAACUUAGAAGUUAUAUGGCAUAAAUGAAAAAAAAAAUUAUGUCUGAAAAAUAUGUAAACUUUUUUUUUAAAACUUUAAUAUUGUACAAGAACAAAAAUUAAAAAUAAAAUAAACGAUGGAUAUAUAUAUAUAUAUAUAUAUAUAUAUAUAUAUAUAGGAGAGAGAAGAAAAAACUUGAAAGAGUGUGUGACAACACAUGUUUUUAUAUGUAAUAGACUGGCUAAUUUAAGACCUUGUCAGUCUAGGAGAGAGAAGAAAAAACUUGAAAGAGUGUGUGACAACACAUGUUUUUAUAUGUAAUAGACUGACUAAUUUAAGACCUUGUCAGUCAUAUGGUCCUGCUUUAAAUAUAAACCAACAAAUUUACCUGUGCAGACAUUUUGAAUUGAUUCAUUAAAUGGUUAAUCAACCAAUUACUUAGGCAUACCGAUCACCAUGGAGUUACUCCUUACAAGUGACUUUGUUUUUGUAGAGGCCUUCAUGAGAUGUUCUGGUUGUACAAUAACCUGGAUAUUGACCAGAUGAAUUGAUUAAGCAUUAAAUUACCCAAUUCUAUGACGGGCUUAUGAGGCUCCACCGCUUCUCCCUCAAUGGCUACGGGUUUUGUAUCAUAGUUCUGAGUUUAACGUCGUCAGCUCGACUUAUCAAUUGAAGAAUUCAUCAGUAUAUCAAAAUAAUCGAUUGAUGUUCAAAGUUUCUUCCAAAGUACAAUUUUAGCCUGUGACCAUUUACCUUAAACUUGUCUCCUCCAUUUUUUUUAAUUUCUAUUGUCCCGUAUGGAGUAACUCCUGUAACAUUGUAAGGACCUGUCCACUUGGAUUUUAAUUUUCCUGGGAAUAACCUGAGUCUUGAAUUUCUAUUGUCCCGUAUGGAGUAACGCCUGUAACUUUGUAAGGACCUGUCCACCUGGAUUUUAAUUUUCCUGGGAAUAACCUGAGUCGACUAUUGUAAAGAAGUACCUGAUCUCCAAUUAUAAAACUCUUUGGUCGGAUCAACUUGUCAUGCCAUAUUUUUGUUUUUUCUUUAAACAUUUUAGCAUUUUCAUAGGCUCCCAAUCUCAGUUCUUCCAAUUCAUUAACCUGAAUAAAUUGCUUUUUACCAGCAGAGGUUAAAUCAAAGUUUAGUGCUUUCAAUGCCCAAAAAGCUUUAUGUUCUAAUUCUACUGGCAAAUAACAAGCUUUUCCAAAGACUAAUCUAUAAGGAGAUGUUCCAAUUGGCAUCUUGAAAGACGUAUAGUACGCCCAUAGUGCAUCAUCUAAUUUUAAAUCCUAGUCUUUUCUUGGCAUUCCAACCAUUUUUUCAAGAAUUCUUUUUAACUCCAUUGCCCAGUCUUUUCUUGAGAGUCCAACCGUUUUUUCAAGAAUUCUUUUUAACUCGCGGUUGGAAACCUCAAAUUGCCCUUGAGUUUGAGCAUGAUAUGGUGUUCCAGUUUUCUGAGUUACAUUAUAUUUCGACAGUAAAGCAGAAAAUUGCCUAUUGAUAAAAUGAGUUUCUUGGUCACUAAUAAUGACUCGCGAUGUGCCAAAUCUAGUUAAAAAAUUUUUAGUAAGAAAAUUGCACACUAUACGAGCAUCAUUCUUUCUUGUGGGGAUGGCUUCAACCCAUUUUGACACAUAUCCAUAGCCACAAGAAUAUAUUCAAAAGAGUGAGAAGAAGGAAAAGGACCCAUAAAAUCUGUUCCCCAAAUAUCAAAUAUUUCACAUACCUGUAUUGAUUGCAGUGGAAUCUCAUCUUUCUUGGUGAUAUUACCUGUUCUCUGACACCUGUCACAUUGUGCUACAUAUGUUCGGGCAUAUUUAAAUAGUGUGGGCCAGAAGAAUCCGGCUUCUUAAAACUUUAAAAGCUGUUCGAUUUGCUGCAUAAUGUCCUCCAAUUGCUCCAUCAUGACAGUGAUAUAGAACUUUAUUCAUCUCUUCUUCAGGUACACACCUUCUAAUGAUAUUAUCUGCAAAAAUUUUGAAUAAGUAAGUUUCAUCCCACAGAUAAUACUUUGCAUCAGAUAUAAGAUUUUUCUUUGCUGAUAAGAGAAAUCUUGCGGUAUCCACUUUCCGACCAAGUAAUUCGCGAUAUCUGCAAACCAGGGUGGUUGAGUCACAAUUGUGUUAACUGGAAAAAUAUGUUCAUCAGGAAAUUCUUUUUUUAUCUCAUUAAACUUAAGGGGGGGGGGGGGUUUCUAAUCUAGACAAAUGGUCAGCUACUUGGUUCUCUAUCCCUUUCUUGUCCUUUAUCUCAAGGUCAAAUUAUUGCAGAAGUAAAAUCCAUCUUAAUAAUCUAGAUCGAGCAUCUUUCUUAGCUAAUAGGUAUCUUAAAUCUGCAUGAUCAGUAAAAACAGUGACCUUUGUUCCUAUCAAAUAGGAACGAAAUUUAGCAAAAGCAAACACUACUGCUAGUAACUCUUUUUCUGUCGUGGCAUAAUUCACUUGAGUCUCACUUAACGUCCUACUAGCAUAGUAAAUGGGACGGAAUAUCCUAUCUUUUCUUUGUCCUAAAACACCUUUUUUUUGGGUCCACUAGGCAAAUGCCUAGGGUUAGUUUUCAUAAAUAAAAUAAAAAGGAAGAUUACAACAAAUAGGAGAAAUAAAAUAAGGCGGGUUACACCGGCAAUGUUACCCAUAUAACACAGUCGGCAUAGACCUUACCUUAGCUAUCCUAUUGAGGCAAAUAAAAGCCUCAUGUACUAGCAAGCAUGUAAAAAGAAAGAACUCGCAAGAACUAAGAAUUGAAUGAUCAUCAUAGAAUUUAUAACAUGCUCUGUGAUGAUAUUACAUAGAACAAUACUAAUGUGAUGGUAAAAUAAACAGAUGAAGAAGUCAUAAAGGUGCUCUCUUUUCUCUUUUGUUGUUAAAAUUUCGAUUUGUAGAAUGUUGUCUUCAAUAAACAUAUGAAGAAGCCGUAAAGGUGCCCUUUUUUUCUCCUUUGUUGUGAAAAUUUCGAUUUGUAGAAUGUUGUAUUCUUCCACAUAAUUUUUCAAAAAGUCUUCAAACUUCAUGCUUUAUUCUUCAGACGAUUGGAUUUUGAAAGAAUUGUUUGAGCGACUUGUUUUUGUUUUGCAUUUCUCAUUGGGGGCCUCCUUAUGUUUACGUCUUCAAACGCCUUGCCGUCCCAACUUCUUUCCCUUCGACGAGACUUCUUAUUUCUUGCACUAUGUAAUGGUGACAAAUCUCCUUUUGUUGAAGCGUCUGCUCGGCAUUGGUUUAAAAUAUCCUCUUCUUUCCCUUCUUCAUAUAUGUGUCUUCCUGCGAAAAUUGGAUUUGCCAAUUCCAUCGCUUCCAAGAGUUGUCUUUCCUCGGACGAGAUUACUGAAGCAGUUGUGACGAGCUGCCCCGCCUGUGGCUUUGCAUUCCUUUGCUGCUUCUGAUUCUGACUAGUUGAUGGCAGUGCAGUUGCAAUUCCAUCACCCACUGAUGCUUCGGCUAGGCUUAAUUGACGAUUAUGAGCUGUUUCAUUCUUGUUGAACUUUGAUGUCACUACAGUUGUAAUAAGAGCUUUUGCAUUAUUUCUUGGAACAAAAACUGGAGCAUUAUGGAUUAAGCUACUAUUUUGAGUUGGUGUUUGUUUCAAAAUUGCACAACAGUUGUUAGUUGCAGUUUUCCUUUGAAAUUUUUGCUUGACUAGAUCAUCGCUGUCCUCUCCACUAUUAUCCUGAUCAGAUUCUUGAUCAUCUUCUUCCGAUGAAAAACCAGCGAAACCUUCACACCAUCUCUCCUCAUCAUCAUAAUCUCAUUGGUCUUUCCACAGUUUCGAUCCAAUGACCAGGUCCAUCCUCUUUGGCCAUGUAGGAGUGGAUAUGGUUGGAGAACUUUGAAAUUUGGACUGUAUUUGCCNNNNNNNNNNNNAUAUCAGUAACAUAAGCUGUAUUCUUUGCCUCUGUAUUCUGUGAGCUAUUUUGACUGUCACCAAGCUGCAAAUUUUCUCUCAAGAAUUUUCCUUCAUCAUCAUUGACAUUGGCAAGUGCGGCAAAUGAGUUUGAGAUUGAAGGUAAAACUGGAUUGUUUCCUGCGAUGUGAUUUUUAUUUUUGGUGAUUUGUUUAGCUAUAUCAUGUCGAGUUGUGUUCUAUAAAAACUCAUCGUUUGUACUAGUUGCUGUUAUUUGAAUCUCACAAACAAGAUUAUCAUUCCUGAAUAUAGCUCAAACAUCAGGACAUUGCAAAGGAGGUCUAUGAUCCAGUUCUGUUGAGAUAGACACUGCAUCAUGUGAUUCAAUGUCUAUCGACGUGUUGGAUCUUUUAUUAUCAAUUGCAACAGCAGAUUUUUUGGUAUGUUCAGAAAAAACCAAAAUUGAUGCUUUAUUCAGUUCUAAACAAUGAUGUUGUCCAGAGUUUCUUGAAGAAUCCAGUACAUUUGUAACUGUCGAUUUUUCCUUUGGUUAAACUGACAAAACAGAAUGAAGUGUACCAGAUGUGAAAUUAUCUGAUUCCUCCAAAUUAGUUCCAGUUGCUUGACCAAACAUAGUAGUGUUUUGAUUGAUAUUAUUCUGCAUUAUCUGCUACUUCAGGUUAUUGCUUUUGGCAUUGUCUAUUUGUGGCAUAGUAAAUGGAUCUGUAUGUUUCAAAUUUGAUACCAUCUUUUCAUUUUCAACACUGAUAGGCAACUUCAAUGGAACAGUGUCUGGCAAUUUAGCAAUUUACAAGACUGGACAGAAUCUUCCUUUGGCCUUGUAGGAAUUUCUGCAGUUGAAACACUUGUAGUAGAAGCAUGCCCAUUGCACUUGUGAUGCUUAGUGUCUGGCAAUUUACAAGACUGGACAGAAUCUUCCUUUAGCUUGGAAUUUCUGCAGUUGUAACACUUGUAGCAGAGGCAUGCCCAUUGCACUUGUGAUGCUGCCCAUCAAGAUCAGCCACAUGCCCAUCCUUUGCAUUAGUAGUAACAUGAUCUGCAGAAGCCAGCAUUAUAUGAUCAGUAUCCACAUAUGAUCGUGCAUAGCUUGUAGAAUCAGGUGCAUCUCUAGGAAGGUUGGGAGGUCUUUUAUCCAAUAGUGAAACUUCUUCCAUAGACUCCACUUGAAUUGCUGCAUCACUACACCUAUCAUUCACACCACCAACCAAAGCAAUCCUGGUCAUUACAUGUUGAUCUGCCUCAGCCCUAUCAAUCACAGUAGGUUGUGAAACCUUAGUCAUAGCAUUCUGUUUUGUAACAUUGAGAGGUUUUUUAUCCAAUUAUGAAACCUCUUCCAUAGACUCCAUUUAACUGUUGCAUUACUGCAACUAUCAUUCACACCAGCAACCACAAUAGUCCUCAACACUACAUAUUGAUCUGCCUCAGCCUUAUCUUUAUCCAAUUGUGAAACCUCUUCCAUAGACUCCACUUGAAUUGCUGCAUGACUGUACGUAUGAUUCACACCAGCAACCACAGCAGUCCUAGUCAGUACAUGUUGAUCUGCCUCAGCCCUAUCAAUCACAGUAGGUUGUGAAACCUUAGACAUAGCAUUCUGUUUUGUAACAUUUGGGGAUCCUUUAUCCAAUUGUGGAACCUCUUCCAUAGACUCCACUUGAACUGCUGCAUCACUGCACCUAUCAUUCACACCAGCAACCACAGCAGUCCUAGUCACUACAUAUUGAUCUGCCUCAACCCUAUCAAUCACAGUAGGUUGUGAAACCUUAGACAUAGUAGCCUGUUUUGUAACAUUAGGAGGUCCUUUAUCCAAUUGUGAAACCUCUUCCAUAGACUUUACUUGAACUGCUGCAUCACUGCACCUAUCAUUCACACCAGAAACCACAAUAGUCCUAGUCACUACAUGUUGAUCUGCCUCAACCCUAUCAAUCACAGUAGGUUGUGAAACCUUAGACAUAGCAGCCUGUUUUAAAACAUCCUUUACAGUAUCAUUUUGUACUGCUGAAUCAUUUCGAACAACAACCUCCUUCAAGCCAUCCUUUUCUUGUAAAACAUUAGAUAUUUUUCCAGCUCUUUUAUUAUUUAAAAACUCCCUUGCAUCCCCUUUUAAUUUAUCAACAGCAUCCACAUCGAUUCCAAGUAGAUCACUGACCAGAUUAUCCUCUGCCACCACCUCUGCUCCAGCUUUUUCUUUUUUAAUUCUACACGCCUUGUCAUCGUGACCUAGGUAUUUGUAGUAGGCACAAUACCUAGGAAGGUUGUCGUACACUAUUUCUUGAUGGAACUCGACAGAUUCACCUGAAUCUGAAUCUACAAUCUGCAGCAUGACCUUUUUAGGAUGUUUAUCCAAUAGAUCAAGUAUAACCUUAACUCUAGCCGCGCUAGGUCUCGUUCUAUCCUGUGUCGCUUCAUCAACAGCAAGAGGUUUUCCCACAGCUGAGGCUAUCGACAUUAAUGAUCUCUUAGCAAAGAAAUUUGGUGGCAGGCCUGGAAGCGAGAUCCAUACGACUGCCCUGGACAUCUCCUCCUUCGGAUUGAAUCCCAAAGACCAUGGGAAUGUUCUGAAGAUGUGUCACCUUAUCAACAGCAAGAGGUUUUCCUACAGCUAAGGCUAUAGACAUUGACGAUCUCUUAGCAAAGAAAUUUGUGGCAGGCCUGGAAGCAAAAUCCAUACGACUGCCCUGACGUCUCCUCCUUCGGAUUGAAACCCGAAGACCAUGGGAAUGUUCUGAAGAAAUAUUCGUCGCCUUUGGAUUUAAGAUAUCCAGUCGACUUUGAAAGGAAGUGAACGUAAUCAUUGAAGAGAUCAAACCUGAUUAACAGAUGACGAAAUUCCAAUUGUCCAAUGUUACAAUGACCUUGAACAUCGAAUUGCGACGAAAAUACUCUUCGCACUUUCGAUAUAUCAGGUCUGCCAUAAGAGAAUUUUAAAACAACUGCCUAAUGCAAACCUUCUUCCCUAAUGAAGUUGUUCACGUCUUCCAUUGAGAAUUGAAUAACUGGUUCACCAUGAUCAAAUUUAACUGGACAGAGCUCAAUUUUUGUCGGAGUAGGCUGAUUUGCUUGUAAUGUUAUAGCAUACGAUUGCUUUGAACUGUUUUUUUGGAUAAGCUUUUACGUUAUUUUGAAUUACCUCUCCCACAGCCAAAGGCUGGGGAGAGAUCAAUGCAACCAUGGCUACCCAGCUCACAAAACGACUACAAAAUUCUAGAGAUGUACUUGCUUGUAAUUUUGCAGCAUACGAUUGCUUUGAACUGUCUUUUGGAUCAUCUUUUACGUGAUUUUGAAUUACCUCUCCCACAGCCAAAGGCUGGGGAGAGAUCAAUGCAGCCAUGGCUGCCCAGCUCACAAAACAACUAGUAAAUUCUAGAGAUGGAACAAGGACACAUCCAUUGUUCUAUACAACCGAGAAUAGCAGAAUUGAUGAAAAUCUGAAAAAUUCCUUUGAGGUACAGUGAUUGUAUAAUCAAUUUCCUACUAGCGUAGUAAAUAGGACGGAAUAUCCUAUCUUUUCUUUGGCCUAAAACCGCUCCAACCGCUGUAUCAAUAGCAUCACACAUGACCUCAAAAGGUUGGUUCCAAUCAGGGGACACAACUGCAGGUGCAGUUGAUAACUUUUCCUUAAGGGUUUCAAACGCUUUAACACAUUCACCUGAAAAAUCAAACUUGAUGUAUUUCAUCAAGAGUUUAUUCAGUGGUUUUGAAAUCUUCGAGAAAUCUUUUAUGAAUCGUCUGUAAAAACCUGCAUGGCCUAGAAAGCUUCUAAUGUCUUUCACAGUUAUGGGAGGGGGUAAUCCUGCUAUAAGAUUAAUUUUUUCCUUAUCAACUUCUAUCCUUUUAACAGUGAUUUUAUGUCCUAAAACAAUUCCUUUUGUAACCAUAAAAUGUCAUUUUUCCCAAUAAAGAACUAAGUUUUUUUCUUACAUCUUUUAAGAACCAAGUCAAGUGGUUAAGACAAUCCUUAUAUGUUUUGCCAAAUAGUGUAAAAUCAUCCAUAAAUAUUUCAAGAAAUUUGUUAGUCAUGUCAGCAAAAAUUGCUGACAUGCAACGCUGAAAUGUAGCAGGGUUGUUGCACAAAUCGAAUGGCAUUCUCCUAUAGGCAUAUGUUCCAUGAGAGCAUGUGAAGGUUGUAUUAUCUUGAUCUUCUGGUGCAAUUGGUAUCUGAUUAUAUCCUGAAUAACCAUCAAGAAAAUAGUAAAAACCAUAUCCUGCAAUUCUUUCCAACAUUUGAUCAAUGAAUGGCAAAGGAAAAUGAUCAAGCCAAACCAUCAAGAAAAUAGUAAAAACCAUAUCCUGCAAUUCUUUCCAACAUUUGAUCAAUGAAUGGCAAAGGAAAAUGAUCUUUUCUAGUGAUAUCAUUGAGACGUCUGUAAUCAAUACAGACUCUCCAUCCUGUAACAGUCCUGGUAUGUAUGAGCUCAUUAUUUUUAUUUUUUAUAACUGUCAUACCUCCUUUAUUUGGUACUACCUGAACGGGACUUACCUACGGGCUAUCAGAAAUGGGGUAUAUACUACCUGCUGCCAACAGCUUUACGAUCUCUUUCUUCACUACUUGCUGCAUUGCUGGAUUCAAUCUUCUUUGCGUCUGGACUAUUGGCUUGUAGAUAUCCUCCAUGAGGAUUUUGUGUGUACAAAUAGCCGGACUAAUUCCUUUAAUAUCUUCAAUAGUCCACCCUAAGGCUCCUUUGUGUGCUUUCAAUACUUUAAUCAAACUACUUUCUUAUUCUGCAGUCAGAGAAAAGGAAAUAAUUACUGGAAAUAAUUCCUUCUCAAGAUAUACAUAUUUCAAAUGAGAACUGAGAGUUUUGAGUUCACUUUUUUAUUGAACUUCAUCGGAUUUCAUUUCUUCUUCCCCUGAAUCUUUGUCAAAUAUUUCAGCUUCUCUUCUGAUGGUGGGAUCAUCGUCCUGUGUGGUGCUUGAUUUGAUCAAGCAUCUUUCCAUUCAAUCUGGAAUUAAUUGAUCAUCUUUGAAUUCAUCUGUAAGAUAACUAAUCAUGACAAUUGAAAAACGUGAAUAUGAUGUUUCAGCUCCUGAAUAUCUUAGUAUCUUUUGCAUAUCAAAGAUUACUCUCUCUUUAUCAACUCUCAAAAUUAGUUGUCCUUGAUGAACAUGUAUAAUUGCUCUUCCUGUAGCAAGAAAUGAUCUACCUAAAAUUAUUGGUUCAUUAGGACAUUCUUUCAUUUCAAGCACAAUAAAAUCUACAGGGAAAAUAAACUUAUCUACUCUUACGAGUACAUUUUCAAUUAUUCCCAUAGGUUUCGUAGUACUUUGAUCUGCAAAUUGAAGAGAAACACUUGUGUCUUUAAUUUCACCAAGAUCUAACUUUUUAAAAUAGAAAAUGGCAUAAAAUUUAUUGAAGCUCCAGAAUCACAAAGUGCUUUUUCAAAAUAUACUCCUCCCAAAGUGCAUGGAAUUGUAAAAUUGCCUGGAUCACCAAGUUUUUAUGGUAGCUUAUUUUGAAGUAUAGCACUGCUUUUUCCGUAAGCAUUACCAUAGAAACUUCUUCUAAUUUUCUUUUACUUGAUAAAAUUUCCUUUAAAAAAUUGUCAUGAGAAGGCAUUUGUAACAAAGCAUUAGUAAAAGGAAUAUUGAUGUGAAUUUGUUUUAAAAUCUCCAAAUAUUUUGCAAAUUGGUUGUCAAGCUUUUCUCUUUUCAUUUUUGUGAAAAGGGAAUAAUCACAGGGAUAGGACUUAAUUUUUCAAUAUUUCUUUCUUCUUUUUACUUGACUUCAUUUUUUCAGAUGGUUCAGAGGGUAUUUUAACAUUCUUACCGUUGUUUACCUGUUGUUCUGAUCGGUCUGCAUAAGGUUCAUCAGACUCCUUACCCGACCGUAAGGUAAUGUCCUUAAGGUGAUCCUUUGGAUUUUUCUCUAUAUUACUUGGGGGUUCUUCCAAUUCCGUACCCCACCGUAAGGUGAUGGCCUUAAGGUUUUCCUUUGGAUUUUUUCUCAUUAUUGCUUGGUAAGGGGCCUUGAAUUUUUUCUGACACAAGAGUUGCCAAUUAGCUAAACUGGAUUUCCAAAUUUUUAAGGGCUGAAUUUUGGCUUUCCAUUUUUUUAUCAGUGACCUUAAUGUAUUUGUACAAAAGGUCUUCAAGACUUGAAUGAGCUUGUUGAGGCCUUUGUUGAUAUGGGGUUGCUUGCUGAUAAGGUUUAAAAUUCAAUUUCCCUUGGUUUUGAUUCUGAUAUCCGGGUGGACCUUGUACCUGUGGCUUCUGGAAGCUCUGAGAGUUCUCGGCACCAUUUGGAUUGCUCCAUUGAAAUCCUGGAUGUUUAUGUGCCAUUGGACUUCCAAAGGGGUACUGCUUGUAACCGAUGGCAUUGACUUGUUCAUCAUUUUGAUUAAUUCCUUGGCAUUCAUGAUUCAAAUGUUUUCCUUACUGCUUGUAACCAAUUGCAUUGACAUGUUUAUCAUUUUGAUUGAUUGCUUGGAAUUCAUUAUUCAAAUGGUUUCCUCCACACAUAUCACAAGCCUCUGACUGGUUUGAUUGUUUUGUAUUCACCUGAAAAGAUUCAAAUUUCUGUGCCAAAGAAACAAUUUGUUGUGUUAGUGUGUUUAAAGCAUCAACUUGAUUUACCGUAGCGGCCUUUUGAUGAUUACACGCUCAGAUGGCCAUUGAAUGGUAUUUUCACAAAUUUCAUUCAAUAAUUGUAAUGCUUCUUCAGUGGUUUUUUCCAUCACAGAACCUCCUGCAGCUGCAUCUAUCACAUUUCUAGAUGAGGGUUUUAGCCCGUGACAAAAAAUAUACAACUGCAUGUGUUCAGGAAUAUCAUGAUGCGAACAUUUCCUUAACAUUUCUUUUAACCUUUCCCAAACUUGAUAAACUGACUCUGUGUCAGUCUGCUUGAAAUUAGAUAUGUCUUGUCUUAACUUUGUGGUUUUAGUAGGGGAAAAGUAUUUAUUUAAAAAUUUCUAAUCAUUUGGUCCCAUGUGGUAAUUGAUCCUUGAGGCAAACUUCGCAACCAAGUCUUGGCAUCUCUAUUUAUGUGUCCAGGUCGAUUAGAGGUUCGGCUUCCUUCUCCCACACCUUCGUAACCAAGUCUUAGCGUCUCUUUUUAAAGAAAAAGGAAAUAGCCUUAACUUAAUUGCUUCAGGGGAUACUCCAUUAUACUUAGUUGUUUCAACUAGUUCUAGAAAAUCAAUUAGAUGACUAUGUGGAUCUUCACUUGAAUCUCCCGUAAAGAUACAAGAUUGUUGGAUCAUUUGAAUCAGGCCAGUCCUGAUUUCAAAGUUGUUGGCUACCACUGGGGGUUUCUGACACUAGAUGCACAGUUGAAGUGGUCAGGUCUAGCAUAAUCCUCAGGAUUCUGUUUGCUGGUCUUGGCGCCAUUUCAACUAAUUGAUCCUCCAUUUGGACUGGUGGUGGUACUUCGCAUAGGUUGAUAUUUUCUACUCCCUGAUUUUCCAUUCAUUCACAAGUUAUACUAUGAGAAGAUGAUGUUUGUUCUUUCCUGCAUAAUAAAGAGAUCUUUCAAUUUCAGGAUUAUAAUGUGCCAACUCUUUUAUAGAAGAGCGGGUCAUAAACUAAGUGAUUUUUGUUUGGUUUGAAAUAAGAUUUUCUUUAAUGAAAAUUAAACUUAAUUCCUACAAUAACAGUGUCACUAAAAGAAAAUAGUAAAAGAAAAGUAGUAGUAGUGAAUAGUACACUUAGUAAUAAUAAUUAUCUAUAUUAAAGGAAAAGAUAGUUAGUACAAACAGUAUAUUAUGAUGAAAGUGCUAUGACAUGAAGUUGAUGACAAUAUCAUAAGAGUAAUAUAUAUACACAUUAAUUAUAUCUACACUUAUUAAUAAUAAAAACAGCAGGUAAUGGUUCCAACAAUGAGAAAAAAAAUAUUAGAAUGGAUAUAAUAGCAAUAGUUAUAGAAAUAUUUAGCAGGUGAUUAUAAUACUAACAAAAAUAAGGAUAUCAAUACAUAUAAUAAUAAAUUCUCAAAUUAGUAAUAAAAUAUUUAAUUUGAAGUAGACUUAUGCCAAUCCCCGGCAACGGCGCCAAAAAUUUGAUGAGGCCAAUGUGUAUAAGAUUUUCCUGCUCAUGCUUAGUCAAAUUCUAAUAUAGUUUAAGAUAUCGUCCCACAAAGAUUGAAAAAUCUAGCUACAGACUUAUAAUAUUCUUACUACUAUUUGAGAGAACCAAAUUGAUAUAAUUCCGAGAGUUUUCAUCACGAAAAACAAGCUUCUUCUUUGUGGUGAUCAUCUCCUUUCGAUUUUUUUUCCAAAACACCAAACCAAUCGCAAUUUUCGAUCGAGAUCACUGUAGAUUCGCAUUAUAAGUCUGCAAUAUGCAUCGUUACUCCUUUCUGAUGUGAAGUUUAUGGACUGUUGACAUGUGAUUUAUUCGGAUAGAGAUAUGCUAUUUAAAGCAAUAACAGAUCGGCAAAUUCCCGGAAGAUACUGUAGCAUCGACAUUUUAAUACAAUUUCAGCACUUUCGUAGUAGUGAUAUAGCGUCAAUAUGGAGAAUUUUUUCUGAUCGCAACCAUGGAUGCUCCGUCCUCUCCCCAGCAUCUGGCUGUGGGAGAGGUUCAUAAAGUUCUAAACACUGCUCCAAAAGAAAACAAAAAGAAAUCGUAUGCCUCAACACUUCUAACUAAGCAAUGUGAUCCAUCAAAUAUAGAGCUAUGUCCAGUUUUAGUUAACCAUGGUGAACCUGUAAUUCAAUUCACAAAAUAAGAGGUUAACAAUUUCAUUAGGGAAGAAGGAUUGCAUAACGCAGUUGUUAUUAAAUUUUCAUAUGGAAGACCUGAUAUAUCGGAAGUGCGAAGAAUAUUUUCAUCGCAAUUUGAUGUUCAAGGUCAUUUAACAUUGGUCAUUUGGAGUUUUGUCAUCUUUUAGUCAGGUUUGAUCUUUACAAUGAUUAUGUUCAUUUCCUUUCAAAGUCGACUGGAUAUCUUAAAUCCAAAGGCAACAAAUUUUUCUUUAGAACAUUCCCAUGGUCUUUAGAAUUCAAUCCGAAUGAGGAGACGUCGAUGGCAGUCGUAUGGAUUUCUCUUCCAGGUCUGCCACCAAAAUUUUUUGCUAAGAGGUCGUUGUUGUCUAUAGCCUCAGCUGUGGGAAUACCGCUGGCUAUGGACAAGGCAACACAGGAUAGAUCGAGACCUAGCGCGGCAAGAGUUAAGGUUAUAGUUGAUCUUUUGGAUAAUCAUCCUAAAAAGGUCAAGCUGCAGAUUUUUGAUAAAAUAUCAGGUAAAUCUUUCGAGAUUCAUCAACAAAUAGUGUUCGAUAACCUGCCUAAGUAUUGUGCUUAUUGCAAGCAUCAAAGUCACGAUGACAAGUCGUGUAGAAUUAAAAAAGAAAAAUCUGGAGUAGAGGUGGUGGCAGAGAAUCAUUUGGACAGUGAUCUGUCUUGUCAAGAGAUCGUUGAUUUAGACAAAUUACAAGAGGAUGCAAGGGACUAUAUAAAUUCAAAACGAUCUGGACAAGGAGCAAAGGAUUCACAAGAAAAAGAUGAUAAUUCAGGAGUUGAAUUAACAAAAGUCUCACAACAGACUGUACAAAGAGCAGAAGGAGUGACUGUGGAUAAUGCAGUCGUGCAUGAUGUUGUUGCUCCAACUGAUUAUGUUACACAAUCUGGUAUGGUAAAGGAUGCCAUGAAAACGACUGCUGAUUUGAAGCCUACAACAAAUUCUGUGAAUGAUAGGAGUGAUGUUGAUCAUGAAAUGGCUAGGAAUCCUGUGAAAACUGCUGUAUCUGAUGCACCACAUGCAGCAGAUCCAGUUGAGUCUAUGCAAGAGGUUUUGAAGUUGGAUAAAUGACCUUCAAAGCAUUCUACAGAUGUACCUGCUCCUGCUAUCUAUGCACGAUCAUAUGAGCUUGCUACUGGGGCAAUGCACUCUACUACAGAUAGCAUUUCUUUUAGUGCACAGGAUGGGCAGGUGGUUGUUUUUGAGGGUGAGGCAUUAAAACUGAAUUGAACAGCAGUUGUGGUUCCCUCUCAGCAUAACAAAACUGAUGAUAUUCACAAAGGACAGAAUCAAAGUUGCAAUGUGACGCAAAUAGAAAGUGAGGCCAAAGAGCACUGGGUUGAUGCAACUCAAUCAAACGUUACACCUGCAGACACUAUCCCAAGGCCAAAGGGCAAUACUGCAGACAGUGUUUUGUCUAGUUCAAAGGCUGGGCAACUACUUGUCUUUAGGGUGAGGCAAUAAAGCUGAAUUCAACAUCAGAUUUGAUUACUUCUGAUCAUACUUUUGUCUAGUUCAAAGGCUGGGCAACUGCUUGUCUUUGAGGGUGAGGCAAUAAAGCUAAAUUCAACAUCAGUUUUGAUUACUUCUGAUCAUACCAACACAGAGGAUUUUCACAAAAGACAGAAUCAAUGUUGUAAUGUGUCGCAGCUAGGAAGUGAGGACAGAGAGCACUGUGCUGAUGCAGUUCAAUCAAAUUUUACAUCUGCAGACACUCUCACAAUGCCAAAGGGUGAUUCUGCCCAGUUUUAUAAAAUACAGUAUACUGGUCCUUUGAAUGUGCAUUCUAUUCUUGUACCUGAAAAGAUUGUAUCAAAUUUGCAACAUGCUAUUUUGUAAAAUACAAUAUACUGGUCCUUUGAAUGUUCACUCUAUUCUUGUACCUAAAAAGAUGGUAUCAAAUUUGCAACAUGCUGCUCCAUCUAAUGUACCAGAAGUUGACAAUACAAAAAGACAUGAAGAUAAGCAAAUUGAGCAGCAGCAGAUGACAGUAACAAAUUUACUGGAUGCUUCAAAAAAUCCUGCACAUCUACAUUGUAAUGAACUGAAUAAAGCAGCAGCUAUGGAUACUUUUGAGCAUACCAUAAAAGAGUAAACAAGACAGCAUCUUAGCUGCAAUGUGCAGCAGCUGGCAACUGGGGCAGAAAAUGUAUCACCUACAGUACAUCACAUUCUCAAGACAAAUAUGCAAAUAACAGCAACUAUUACAGAAAAUGAGGUUGCGAGAACACACUUCAAUUGGAUACCUCUAACCAGCCUGAUAUUCAGCAAGGCAAUAUGAUCUAUUUGGUAAAUACACCCGCUGCAGUUUCUAAGGAUUUACAUCCUCCUGUUGAUACACAAAAAUCCAGUGAAGAUACUGAACAAUCUGUAAAUAGCUGGUCAGAUUUGUCCACCAUAAAAGAAACUUCAAAAGCCAAAAUCAAUACCCACAGCGCAGAUAAGAGUCCAGCUUUACCAAACUCAUUUACUGCACCUACAAACGUCAAUAAUGAGAAUGCAAAACUGAUUGGACAGAAUGUGCAGAAGGCCAAAAGUUUUCUCCAAUCAUACUUUCUUCCAAUAAACCAUCAACCUCCACUGCAAAUAUUUACCUUAGCAUGAGAGACAUGGUCAUUAAAUCCAAACUGUGGAAAGACCAACGAGAAUUUGACGAUGACGAGGGCUACGGAGAAGGGAUGGCUGGAUAUUCAUCUUCAGAAGACUACCAAGAUUCUGACGAUGACAGUGCAGGAGAGGAUUUUGAUGAGCAGUUCAAGCCAAAAUUUCAAAGACAAUUUUCUGACGACGACAGUGCAGAAGAGGACUUUGAUGAGCAACUCAAGCCAAAAUUACAAAGGCAAUCAGCGACAAUCAAUGGUCCUGGAAAUAUGAAACAUGCAGCAAACAAUAACAGCAACUUGAACCAUAAUGCUCCAGUAUUUGUUCCAAGAAAUUCGACAAAGUCAGGUGAAACAUAUGUUGUUGUUCACAAUGCAACAUCAAUGCAAACAUCUGCCAAGAAUCAGAUUGUACCAAUAAACUCAAUCACAACUAUAAAGGAGACGAAAAUGUCGGAUACAAUGAUGCAACCUUCCCAUAAACUUCUGGAUAAGAGGGCAGAAAGACAUAUAUAUGAAGAAGGGGAGAAAGAGGAUAUAUUAAAGCAAUGCCGGGCAGAUGCGUCAAGAAAAGGUGAUCUGUCGCCAAUGCAUAGUAAAACAAGUAAGAAGUCUCGAGAAAGGGAUAGAAGUUGGGACGGCAUGAUGUUUGAAGACUUUAACAUAAGGAGGCCUCCAAUGAGAAAUGCAAAACAAAAACAAGUCACUCAAAUAGAAAGGGAUAGAAGUUGGGAUGGAAGGAGUUUUGAAGACUUAAACAUAAGGAGACUUCCAAUGAGAAAUGCAAAACAAAAAAAAGUCACUCAAGCAAUUAUAUCAAAGGCCAAUUGGUCGAGGAACAAAAACUAUGGACGACUAAUUUACAAGUUCAAAUGUUCACAAAAUUGGAGAAAAGAGAACACCACGAUGUUUUCUUCAACUUUUUAUUUUUCCAUCUCAUUUGCAUUUUUCAAUGUAAUAUCAUCACCGAGCAUGUUAUAAGCUCGGGGAAGAUUCUUGUUCUUUCUUUCUUUUUACAUGCUUGUUAGUUCAUAAGGCUUUAUUUGGCCUUAAUAGGAUUAAUAAGGUAAGGUUUACGCCGGUUAUUGUUAUAUGGGAAACAAUACUGGUGCUAUCCCCCCCUUAUUUUAUUUUUCCUACUUGUUGAAAUUUUCUUUUUAUCUUUAUUAAUGAAAUCUAGCCCUAGGCGAUUGCCUAAUGGUUGCCAAAACAAAAAAAAACAAAAAUAAAAUAAAUUGAUGAAGUUUUGUUUGUUGAAGAUCUAAAUUGCUUAAGUUGAAACAAAAUAACUUUCGGAAAAUUUAUAUUAAAAUAGAGUUGGGAAUCAUUGAAUUCACUCGAUAGCGUGAUAAUAAUAAAAUCUUAGGCUAUACAUGUAUUUCUCUUAGGGAUAACUAUUUAUUGCUAAUACAAUUAUAUUUGCUCACCAAGAAAUAAUCAAUUAAUAACACUCCGUGAGAAUUAUGUAAAUCAAUUGAUAUAUGACUCGUGGCGAUUAAACUGAAAUAAUUUUCUUGCCUGGAUUGUGCUAUAAGAUAAUAAAAUCCUCUUGCGAUUACUUUUUACUAAAAAUCAAUAAUCUUGCCAACUACAACUCCUCCGUGAUAAUUAUAAUGGAAGUAAGUAAGAUUACAGACUUGGAAUGAUAGAUUAAAAAGAACUGCUCUCACUAUAUUAUUUUACCCAAUAGAUAUCGUAUAUUUAUUUUGAUUCGUGAGAAUUACAAAAUUGACAUACAACUAACUUUGGAGAAUAAAUAGAUAGAAGUGAUAANNNNNNNNNNNNNNNNNNNNNNNNNNNNNNNNNNNNNNNNNNNNNNNNNNNNNNNNNNNNNNNNNNNNNNNNNNNNNNNNNNNNNNNNNNNNNNNNNNNNNNNNNNNNNNNNNNNNNNNNNNNNNNNNNNNNNNNNNNNNNNNNNNNNNNNNNNNNNNNNNNNNNNNNNNNNNNNNNNNNNNNNNNNNNNNNNNNNNNNNNNNNNNNNNNNNNNNNNNNNNNNNNNNNNNNNNNNNNCACUCUUAGAAAAUUCCCAAAAGACUACAAGAUAAAGUGAAAUAUAUAAAGAAAGAAGUAAAGACUAAAUCUAGAGAAAAGUUAUUUUUCUAGGUACGUAUGAUCUUCCUCUCUUCAACACAAAUAUGAUAUACUAUUUAUAGAAAUCAAAUAUCAUAAGGUGUCAUGUUGCCUCAUGCUUCCUUUAUCAUGAUGCCUUGUGCUUCUUUCCACGAUGCCUCGUGCUUGUUUUGCCAUGAUGCCUCGUGCUUCUUUUUUAUUCCUUUAUUUUCUUUAUCAUGAUAUUUUUAUCUGCAAAAUACUGUCAAUCAAAGGAAUAACUUUCUUUGAAUAGCCACUAAUGAAUUUUAAAUAAUAAUUUGCUAACCCAAGGAAAUAACUCAACUCUUUCACAGAAUUAAGUUCUUGCCACUCCACAAUGACAUGCACUUUUUUCGGGUCUAUCCGCACUUGAUUUUGGCUCAUCAAGUGUCCAAGAUUUGAUCUCUUAUUUAGCAAACUCACACUUCCAUUUUCACAUAAAGCUAGUACUCCCACAUAUGAGAGAACACCUUAAUCGAGUAUGACAUGUGUUUAUCCAAGGUUCGACUAUAGAUGAUAACGUCGUCUAAAUAGACAACUACAAAGUCAUCCAAGUAUUCAUACAGCACAUCAUGCAUCAGGUUGAAAAAAGUAGCAGGGGAAUUUGUCAACCCGAACGGCAUAACAAGGAAUUAAUAUGAGUCAUACCUCGUACCACAUGCAGUUUUAGACUAUCACCUUCAGCUAUUCGUACUUGCCAAUAACUAGACCUUAAGUUAAGAGUCGUGAACCAACAUGCCUUGAUCAAUCUGUCCAUCUAGUCUUGCACCAAUGGAACUGGAUAUUUAUUUUUUUCAGUCACUUAUUAAAUGCCUAAUAAUCAACAUACAUCCGAAGCAUCCCAUCAUAUUUCUUUUGAAAUAAACCAGUUGCACUAAAUGGAGUUUUUGAUGAUUGAAUCAGUCCCGCAUCGAGCAACUCAUUCAAUUGUUUUUGCAAUUCAGCCAACUUUUUUGGCGCCAUCCGAUAAGGAGGUCGAGCAGGAGGCAUUGAACCCGACAAAAACUCUAUCUUGUGAUCAAUAGCCCUCCACGGUGGUCACUCAAUAUUUGAGCGACACAGCUCGGCACUUCAACCUUCACAUCGAGCUUCACCACAACCAUAGCGAUAAGGAAAGUAUUAUAUCCCAUUUUGAAACCUUUUUCGACCAUCAUGGUAGAAACUAAUGAAGCCCUACGUUGAGUUUCAUCUUUCCCAUAAGAUGAAUAACUUUGACAAAAUCAGGAGUCAUUUCAUGUAUAAUCAUUACUCCGUCUAAGUGAGGCAUUGGAACAAAGAGGGUUUUCCACAUAAAGUCGAUUCUAAGGAUCACCUCAAAGUCCUCUAGUGGAAUCACCAUCCACUUAAUCUUCCCCUUCCAGUUCCCAACAGACAUAGAAACGUUAUAAGCUAUACCCAUAAUGGCUUGGGCUUUCGCAUUCACAGUAUUCAUGUGAGAGGGAUACUUGCUCACACUCAACCCAUACUUCUGCACCAAUUUCGUCGAGAUAAAAAUGUGAGUAGCUCAAGUAUCUACCAUUGAUAUCACACUCUUCUCUCCAAUUUUUAUUUCAAUGUGCAUCAGAAAAGAGUGAGGAUUGGUCUUGUCACUUGUAGCAUUAAGUAACGAAAUAACAUUCAACAGUUAUAAAGGAUUCACCAAGGCAGCAACAGUUAUUUUUGAUUAUAAAAAAAUAAGUAACAAAUUUGCCUCAAUAAACUAAAAGAAUAAAUUUCAAAUAUAUAUCUAUAUAUAUAUAUAUAUAUAUAUAUAUGUGUGUGUGUGUGUGUGUGUGUGUGUGUGUNNNNNNNNNNNNNNNNNNNNNNNNNNNNNNNNNNNNNNNNNNNNNNNNNNNNNNNNNNNNNNNNNNNNNNNNNNNNNNUAUAUAUAUAUAUAUAUAUAUAUAUAUAUUAUAAUUUUUAAAUAACAUUAAGAUUUUUUAUUAAACCUAUAUUAAGUAUUUUUUGAGAUUUUAGCUGAGACAAUUCUCUUAAUAUUAUCACAGAAAAGAAAAGAAAUUUUUUCAUAUCUAUACCAUAUAUGGAACCUUAUUAUUAAAAACGUGCAUAAUUCCAUUAUUACUCGCCAUGUUUAUAUUUUGCGUACAAAAUUUAUACCAUUCAUUAAAUACUCAAUAUUAAGAGUUGAUUCCUUCUAAAUUAGGCGCCUACAAAUCUAGGAUAAAUAUUUGAAUAGAUUAUUCCUUUCAAAUUAGGCGCCUAAAAUUUGGGACUAAAUAUUUUUUUCAUAUUCCAAAUUAGGCGCCUGAAAAUACAUUGGAAUCUGAUUUUGAGAGUCUUCCAUAAAGAAGAAAAAGAGAAUCAAAUUUUCCAUUCCGAAUAAAUAACAGUGUCCUUUCUUCUGCUACCUCUUUUUCUACGUCCCAAAGCACAAAAAAAUACAAAAAAGACAUAACACAGCAGCAACACCAAUGCGUGCAUUGUGAGAUUACAAAGACGCCUCAAUGGAGGGCAGGUCCAGUGGGACCAAAAUCCUCUUGUUCUUGACGGGAAUGAGCUUAUGCGCAUCUACUUGUGUCAAUAAAUUUUCUACAAAUAAACUACAAAUCAGUUUAAGUAUGUAUAAAGCAAUAUGGUUUUAAUGGUAUCUACAAAUUAUUACAUUUAUACUACAAUUAAACUGCAAUCUAUGUUGAAAAAAAUAUUGACUACAAAAUUUUCUCAUAAUCUACAAAUUUUCUACCAAAAAAACUAUAAAUCUGUUAAAGUAUGUAUGAAGCAGUAUUGUUUUUGAAGGGUAUCUACAAAGUUACCACAUUUAUACUACCAUUACACUACAAUCUAUGUUUGAAAAAAAACUAUUGACUACAAAAUAUUCUCUUUAUCUAUAAAAUUUCUACAAAUAAAUUACAAAUCAGUUUAAGUAUUGUAUAAAGUUGUAUUGUUUUUAAGAGUAUCUAUAAAACUACCACAUUUGUACUACAAUUAAACUAUAAUCUAUGUUGAAAAAAAAUAUUGACAACAAAUUUUUCUCUUAAUCUACAAAAUUUCUACAAAAAAACUACAAAUAAACCAACCUUUCUUUGUAUUUUUUUAGAAGAAGAAAAAAAUGGAGAAGAGAAAGAAAUGGGAGGGGGGAAACGACGAUGGUCAGAUCUUGAGAAUAAAUUGUUUCUGUUUUUGUAUGAACGAACAAAAUCAGAAGGAAAAGUUGGAAAUCUUCAGAACUCUCUCUAUAGAUGAACUCAAAGUGAAAACCAGAAGGAGAAAAAUAAAAAAACCCCUAGCUUCCAAGACAGCAGUCGUUCCUACCUGAAAACAAAAAUCAAACGAAUCCUUUCUUCUUCGAAAAACAGAGGCGUUUCAGUCAAAUUUGAAUUCUUUUAAGUACUGUUUGAGGUCGUCGAGUCCAGGGGAGAGAGAAACGUUAUGGGAGGUGGGAGGAGAGAGAGACGGUAAGCGAAAAUGAGAGAAUAUACGCUCCUAAAUUAACGCCUAAUAUAAAUAAAGCAUUAAUUAUACCCAUAAUUUGAAUUAUGGUAUAUAAAUGUUAAUUUGGUAUGCUUAAAUGUAAUAAAUACAAACCUUAAAUAUUGAGGGUAAUAAGGUUUCAUAUAUGAUAUAGGUAGGUAAAAGUUCCAAAAGAAAAAGACUAGCGUAGGCACAAUUUAAAGCUGCAUUUCAUGAUACUUACAUGCCAUCCAACGUGUAAAGAUUCUUAACUGCGCCGUUUAAACUUGUGACUGCACUUAGCUACUAUUUCUAUCCGGUAGUAAAUUAAUGUUUAUCAUAAAAAUUUGUAUAUAAUUAUUUCAUAAUUGAUUUAAUUGUAAUGAUAUUUUUAUUUAAUAUAUGUAUAAAAAUUAAAUUCUUGAAGGAAAAAAAUAGAAGAGGAAAACUAAAUUAUAAACUCAACAAAUUGUUAGGGAUGGUAAAAUAAAAAGUGUUAGGGAGCUUCCCAAGAAGGAUAUUCAUUCAUUUUUUACUAAAUUAAUAAAAAGAAGUUAAAGACACAUACCUCUAACAAUUAACACAUCAAUAAUAAGUAGUAUUAAACGAGACCAGCGUCCAUUUAACUAGUAUUAAAAUCAGUAAUAUCAUUUACAAUGCACUAAAUUACUGGGAAGCUCCCUACUGUAAAAAUAAAUUUUUAUUUGUUCCUGCUCGAUAUUAAUGUACCUUACAUAUAUCAAUGAAUAUAUGAUAUAUUUUUUCUCUACGAAUAAUCUUAAUAAUUACUAACUAUUUUAAACUAAUAUGUUCUCUCACCUCAAUUAUCACUUAUUUACAGUAAACUUAUGUUUUUUUAAUGUAAAUAUCAAAUGUACAUAAGUAUUUUCCUGAUAACAACUCACACAUUUUUAGAAGGGAAAAAAAAAGUGAACAUGACUUGUCAUUGGAGUUACAAUUAUUAAGGUAUUACAUUAUAUAUUCCUAGUAUCCUUCUAUUAUUGUUGAUAUAUAUAUAUAUAUAUAUAGAUAUAGGAGUACUUACUAUUUUGGAAAACUUUAGUUAAAUUCGGUAAAGAUUCUUUGUCAAAUAAUCCUUUUGUUGUUUCUUCUUCAACCCAAAAGAGUACACAAAAGUAGAAAGAAAAAAGAGAGAAUUAAGAAUAGAACAUGACUCGUGUUGGAAAAUUUUACCAAAUGAUAUAGUAAUAUGCAUAAUCCAAGCUGCACUUUGUACAUGUAUAUAUUUCCAAUAGAAUAGACAAAGAGUGAACUGUGAAAAGGCAGAAGAAGCUUUGACUAACUCUCUCAACCAUUGCCACACCUACACCAUUCCUCCGUUGAACAAUUACCAUUAAAUACACAUAAAACAAAAACCAAAGCUUUCUAUUGUUUCAAUUGAAAUUACCUUUUGUUGAUUCUUUUCUCUAUCAGAAGCUGACCCUUUGCUUCCAUUUUACUGCAUUGACCUCACCUUUUUGGGAUUAGGUUUUCUCGUUGAAUGGUUUAAAUGAGGAAUCUUGAUUUUUAGUUGUGGAUGACCGGGAAUCAUGGAUCAGUCGGUCUUGUUGAUCUGUGUUUUUCUAUGCUUAACUGGGCUGCUUUUGAGCUCGUCACCGGUUGCCGGUAACGCUGAAGGUUUGUUCCUUUUUCAAGAUUUUGGUGAAUAUGUGUGGAGUUAAAAAGAUGUUUAACUUUCUGACUCAAAUUUGGUUUUGUUGGCUUAAUUGAGUUGACUGUUCAAUUGGGAUUCCUCUUUACAUAAAAAGUUGAACUGUAGCUUGUUGAUAUUAUUCUAUGAAGGAUUUAAGUUAUAUUUAAGCAGGUUGCUACCAGCUUUUCCAGGUUACCCAUUGAGGCUUAUUAUAGAUGUUACCCGUAGUUGGUUUCUGAGUAAUUUAUUCCACUGUCAGUGUAUACAUAUUAAACACAUUUAUGGAUUCGCCGUGCUCUUGCAAGAGACAAUCUUAGCACCAAAUAUUUGGUUUGGUUAUGCACCAGUGGCGGAGCCAGGAAUUAUACAAAGGGGUGUCAAAAAAAAAUUAUUACUAUGGGGAAUGGAACUUGCAACCUUCUAUAGUUUUUGACACCCCUUAACUAUUACACUAAGAGUUUGUCUUGUGUCAAGGGUUGUCGACCCCUUGUAAAUAUUCAAUAUUUAAGAAAAAUAUACCUAAAAUACCUAUCUACACAGUGUUAUUUUCCGGCGUAGGGGUGUAAGGGUGGCUCCGCCACUGUUAUGAACUAUAUGGACCCCAAAAAAUGUCCCGGGGUCGGGGGGCAGGCACAUUGAGGGGGAGAGAGAGGAGGCAUUUUGCUGUAAAUAAUACAACAAAAUUUCUAGUUUUAAUGUGUGAUGAGGUGAUCAUUGAUGUAUAAUCUUUUAUGUAAGACAGGUGAUGCUUUGUAUGCUCAGAAGACCAAUUUGGGUGAUCCUAAUACUGUUCUACAGAGUUGGGAUCAAACACUUGUUAAUCCUUGUACUUGGUUCCAUGUGACAUGCAACAAUGAAAAUAGUGUUACUAGAGUGUAAGCUACACAAACUCUUUUUUUUUUUUGGUCCCUUUAUGUUAUGAGUUUCAUUUGUGAAUUUUGGCUGCAUUUUUUUACACAGUGAUCUUGGAAAUGCAAAUCUAACAGGUCAACUGGUACCACAGCUUGGCCAACUCCAGAAAUUGCAGUACUUGUAAGUUAAAUAUUCGUUGGAUCAAUAUGUCUCAAGGAUGUUACAGUUUGUUCUUUGACUUGUUCCAUAACUGCUUUUUGGCGACUCAGUUAGUUUUCUUUGUGAAUAUGUCCCAUGGAUGUUACAGUUUGUUCUUUGACUUGUUCCGUAACUGCUUUGUGGCGACUCAGUUAGUUUUCUUUGUAAUCAUGUAAUCAGUAUUCAUGACAUAAAUGUACAAUGAGCUUUGUAUAUAUUUGCCUGUGCAGAAGAAAAAUUCUAGUGUUUGAUUACCUAGGAAAUUUUUAUGUUACUAAAUAUAUUAUUGUCCUAAGUAAGUGUUAGAACAACCCCCAAAGGGUGGCCUAGUGGUCAAGGUGUCGGAGUAACAACACAAGGUUUGAAUCCUUGCGGACGAGACACUAGGUGAAUUCACUCCAUCUACCUAAGAGUUGGUGGCCAAAGUUACCCAAUACUUAUGCUGGUGGGAGAUAGCAUGUAUUUAGUAGAUUAGUCGAGGCCCAAGCUAGCUGACUCGAACAAUAUCUCUAUUAGAAAAACUGAAUCAUUGUAUAUAGCUGGUUUUGGGGAGUAAUAAGUUUAUUGAAAGAUCAUAUAGGAGUUUUGUAUCAAUAAGUUUUUUAUAUUACCAAACAAUUGUAAAAAAUGUCAAUCUUUGUAUGUAAUUUGGCCUGGGGAAGUAACAUGUAUUCAAAGAUAAUUAACUUGCUAUCCUUAUUAAAUAAAAAAGAUAAUUAACUUGCUAUUUGAGGUCCUUGAAAUAUGAAAAUCAUUAGGGUUAUUCUCUUCUUCACUCAAUGUUAAGUACAUGGGGCCAUUACAUUGUAAAGAAAUUAAAUCCCAACAUUCCUUAUUUUCUAUUCUUCUUUGAAGAAUUGUGAGGUGGAGAGUAGCAUUUUUCUGGCACUUUAUAGUGGGAAUGAAUGCUGACAAUCCCUUUUUCUUUUUUCAAGUUGGUGGGGGCAUGAAAAACAUUGCAUCUUGCUUGUGUACUUCUUGACUUACUAAAAAUGUAAUGCUCCGCCAAGUUGAUAGUUUUAAUCAUCCACACCUAAUUUAAAAUAUCCAUCUUUAAUUUAUCUGGGAGGUACCAAUGCAUUUCUGGUCCAUGUAAAUGGAUAUUCUUUGGAUCCCAAAGAUGCCUUUUUGACCGUUUAUCAGACAAAAAGAGCCAAUUUUACUGGUGACUCUGCUUCUAGUCCCAGUUUACCUGAUUGUUUUUAAAAAGUUAUUUUUUGUAUUCAAGAAUUAAAAUUACGACAAAAUAAAAUUGCUUGAUAUUUUCAAAAGACUACUCCACUUUAUGACAUUAACACCUUAUUCUUUUAUUCUUUUCUCUAGCUGAAUCUUAUUUAACAAGAUGGUCAAAUUCCUUUUUAGGAAGUGAACUGGCCAAAGAGGCUAUAUUGAACUUGGAGGAAGUGACUUUAUUUGACUGGAGAUAUUCCUUCUCUUUAUCCUGUUUGAAUUAUGCAACAUUAGGCUUUGGUUUUGAUGAUGUUUAUAAUUGCCAAUUUACCUUAUUCUCAUGCAGAAAUGAGCCAUUUAUGCAUUAUGAUUUUCUAAGGGUACAUUUUCUAAAUAAGUCAUGCUCUAAUACCUUAUAUAAUGACAUUAACAGAUAUUUGAUAUGCUCAUUCUGCUACCAACCAUUCCUAUGGUAUGGGAACUCUGAUAAAAAGAAAGACUCGUGUGGUCAAUUGGCAAGUGGUCAUUGGAGAUUUAAAAAAAAAAGGGGGNNNNNNNNNNNNNNGGGGGGGGGGCUGAGAAACUUGAAGUUACAUAAUAGAAGCUUGCUCUUUAAAUGGUUUUGGAGAUACAGUAGGGGAAGUGAGGAAAUCUGGCAUAAGAUGAUAGAUGCUUUAUAUGGGGAAAAUAGGUGGAUGGUGGGAUGAAUUUCUCCAGACUAGGCUGGAGUUAGUAAUGGUGCAGAAAUUGAAUUCUGGUUGGAUAGUUGUGAUGGAGAGGAGAGCUUUAGAAGAAGAUUUCCAGACCUAUAUAGUUGUGCUUUCAAUAAAGAGGGCUUUAUUGCAGAUAUCAAUGCAGAUUCAGGCUGGAAUGUCACCUUCGGAAGGAAUUUGAAUGAUUGGGAACUGGAAAGUUUCUGUCACCUACUUCAGCAACCGAACCCAUGCUCAAUAAACCAGAACAAAGCAGACAGACUAGCUUGGUUCAACAGCAAGGAUAACGUGUUUUUAGUCAGAAGUUGUUAAAAGUUGUAAUAAUAUGUUAAUGCAACAGAGUGGUCAAGGAGAUCCUAGUAUGCCUUGGAAAAUGAUACGGAGAAACAAGGCACCUACAAGAGCUGCAUGUUUAAUCCUAAUAUGCCUUGGAAAAUGAUACGGAGAAACAAGGCACCUAGGAAAGCUCCAUGUUUUGGGUGGAUAACAACUAGGAGUGCAUGCUUAACUAUGAGCAAUAUACAAAAGAGUGGUUUUCCCCUAUGUUGUAGAUGCUAUCUCGGCAACAAAGAACAAGAAACAGUUGAGCACUUGUUCUUACAUUGCAGAGUUUAUUGAACCCAUGCUCAAUAAACCAGAACAAAAGCAGACAGACUAGCUUGGUUCAACUUCAACAGCAAGGAUAAUGUAUUUUUAGUCAGAAGUUGUUAAAAGUUGUUAUAAUAUGUUAAUGCAACAGAGUGGUCAAGGAGAUCCUAAUAUGCCUUGGAAAAUGAUACGGAGAAACAAGGCACCUACGAAAGCUGCAUGUUUUGGGUGGAUAACAACUAGGAGUGCAUGCUUAACUCAGAGCAAUUUACAAAAGAGAGGUUUUCCCCUAUGUUGUAGAUGCUAUCUCGGCAACAAAGAACAAGAAACAGUUGAGCACUUGUUCUUACAUUGCAGAGUUUAUUGAACCCAUGCUCAAUAAACCAGAACAAAAGCAGACAGACUAGCUUGGUUCAACUUCAACAGCAAGGAUAAUGUAUUUUUAGUCAGAAGUUGUUAAAAGUUGUUAUAAUAUGUUAAUGCAACAGAGUGGUCAAGGAGAUCCUAAUAUGCCUUGGAAAAUGAUACGGAGAAACAAGGCACCUACGAAAGCUGCAUGUUUUGGGUGGAUAACAACUAGGAGUGCAUGCUUAACUCAGAGCAAUUUACAAAAGAGAGGUUUUCCCCUAUGUUGUAGAUGCUAUCUCGGCAACAAAGAACAAGAAACAGUUGAGCACUUGUUCUUACAUUGCAGAGUUUAUUGAACCCAUGCUCAAUAAACCAGAACAAAAGCAGACAGACUAGCUUGGUUCAACAGCAAGGAUAAUAUAUUUUUAGUCAGAAGUUGUUAAAAGUUGUUAUAAUAUGUUAAUGCAACAGAGUGGUCAAGGAGAUCCUAAUAUGCCUGGAAAAUGGUAUGGAGAAACAAUGCACCUACGAAAGCUGCAUGUUUUGGGUGGAUAACAACUAGGAGUGCAUGCUUAACUCAAAGUAAUUUACAAAAGAGAGGUUUUCCCUAUGUUGUAGAUUCUAUCUCGGCAACAAAGAACAAGAAACAGUUGAGCACUUGUUCUUACAUUGCAGAGUUUCAAGACAUCUUUGGGAGGUUUUCUUUAACAUCAUUGGCAUAUAUUUGGUGAUACCACAGAACAUCAAGAGCCUAUUGGAGAUCUGACAAUCUCAGAGAGUAGCAAGAGCUGUAAAACAAAUCUGGAGGACUAUUCCUAUGUGCAUAAUGUGAACUAUGUGGCAGGAAAGGAACAAAGCGUGUUUUGAGGGGAAGAGGUUGCAGCUAUCUAGAGUCGAGAACAAAUGUAUCAAGAAUUUGUAUUUUGGUGUCAUAGCAGUAGUCAGAUGGAAUGGAUCAGUAUCUGGAUUUUUGUAUUUCGUAGGGGGAAAUAUGUUGCAUGAAUGGUGCAGGAGCUGCAGCUGUGCUUUGUACUUUUUAUGUACCAUCUGGUACCAUUUUAAAGAAAAACCUUUAUUUGUAUAUAUAACAAAAAAAAGGGGCUAGGUGUUAUGUACUAUUGCUUGAUUCCUUGCCUGCCUAAUUGUGAUAUUGUGUGCUAAAAUCACGAUACUCUGUUUGGGUGGAAACUUCAAAGCUCAUAGUUAUACCUAUUGCUUUUAGUAACAUCGUUCUCUUUUUCAUGUUUACCUGAAAGUAUAACCCAUGGAAGCAAUUUUACCCUUCAAAUGGGUAACAUACCUAUGCACAGCUUAGUUGACACAUCUCAUCUUAAGCUGCAGCGUCUGCGAAUUCUCAGAACUAAUUGCUAAUGAUAUUUUCUCUUUUUUAAUUUCAGGGAGCUUUAUAGUAAUAACAUAAGCGGAAGAAUUCCAAAUGAACUGGGAAACUUGACAGAGUUGGUUAGCUUGGAUCUUUACCUGAACAACUUAAAUGGUCCAAUCCCUGACACACUGGGCAAGCUUCAGAAACUACGCUUCCUGUACGAGUUAGACCUUUUUUUUCCUUUCAUGUUCUCUCUCUUUUUUCCUUUUGUUUCUUCUUUUGGUUUGGUUAUUUUGUUUUUAUUUUCUUUUUUUAAUGUCUUUUUCCUUUCACGUUCUCUCUCUCUUUUUUCCUUUUGUUUCUUCUUUUGGUUUGGUUAUUUUGGUUUUAUUUUCUUUUUUUAAUGUUUCAAAUCUUUAUCCUAUUUUUAUGAGUACUAGUUCAAUUAGAAAUGAGUACCUUCUAUGUUAAUGUGUGCAAACGGGUUUGUAGUUUCUAAUUCUCUAUAGCAAAGCUGUAUGAUAAGGUAGAAUUCUGUAACUUUUCCGGUAUUUAUGUUUACAUUGAUGUGUGGAAGCAUUCUGUACAAAAGAAUUUGAUUUAUGGAAGCAAUGAAAAUCGCUACUGCUGUCAGCCAAACAAACCUUUUUAGUUUGAGAGUUCAACGGGUAAUAUAUCUGUAUGAUUCAUUCUGUCUUUGCUCCGUAGUGGAGAGUUGGUUGACACACUUGGCAAACCUUGUUCGUGUUUUCCAAAUAUUUAUCGGUUGCAGAGUGAAGACGAGGUAAUUGGACUGGUCAAUAAAUUUUGGUUAGUUGUAACACCCUAGGCUUUAGACAGAGUCCCACAUUGGCAAAACACAAGAGGGAUGCUGGGUAUAUCAGUUAACAAGCCUUAGACCCUAGUGACACGUUUUAAACCCGUGAGGGCCCAGGCCCAGAACGGACAAUAUUACUAGCGGGCUGGGCUGUUAUCAGAGCCACUCUUGUGUCAGCCUUGCCGAUAGUGGGUUAGAGUUCAACCGAGUUUAAGCAAAUCCCGGUUAGGCGGGGCAAACCUCGGUGCUGAGUCUAGGCAAAUCCCAUGCGGUGGGGCAAACCUCAACGAGGACGCUGAGUCCAUAAGAGGGGGUGUAUGUAACACCCCAGGCUUUAAACAGAGUCCCACAUCGGCAAAACACAAGAGGGAUGAUGGGUAUAUAAGUUAACAAGCCUUAGACCCUAGUGACGCGUUUUAAACCCGUGAGGACCCAGGCCCAGAACGGACAAUAUCACUAGCGGGCUGGGCUGUUACAUUAGUGGUCUAUAUAGACUCAUAGCCGUGCAGCUUAACUGAAAAAGACAAUUCUGAGAUACUUCUCAUCUUAUUAACAAAAAAGCCUUUGGACUUAGAUGAUUGCUAAAUACUGUAUGUAUGACCGUGAUUCUCAACCUGCAAACAAUGUCAGCAAGUUUUUUCUAGCAUACUGGACUUAAUCUUGUAAGAUCAUCUAAUUCUAUAUGUAUUUGUCUUCAUUAGUCAAUGUUUUUACUCUCUACAUGUAGCACAUGUACUGAGUAAUGAGCUUUAUUCGCUUUGACAGCCUUCUUUGCCGAGGGUCUAUCGGAAACAGUCUCUCUAUCUUUAUAAGGUAGGGGUAAGGUCUGCGUACACACUACCCUAGCCAUACCCCAUUUAUGGGAACCAAGUUCGUUGUUGUUGUUGUUUACUUACCCUUGAUCGACCUUUUUUCUUAUCCUUUUUUUUCUUUUCUGAAUUGAAGGAGGCUGAAUAAUAACAGUUUGAUUGGACUUAUUCCCAUGUCUCUAACCACCAUUCUUGCACUUCAAGUACUGUAAGUAUAAAGUUGUUCCCUUAUUUAUCAAGUGUUGUAUGUUGACAACAACCUCUCUGCCCUUUCGGGUAGGGGUAAGGCCUGUCUACAUAUUACCUUCCCCAGACCCCACCUUGUGGGACUAUACUGGGUAGUUGUUGUUGUUGUUUGAUCUUGUCUCCAAUAGUCGCUUGGUCAUACUUCAACUUCAUCUCAAGAAACUGAGGAAACUGAGGAAAUCCAGUUAAUGUUGUUGUUGUUGUUGUCUGUUGUCUUUGUUGGUCUACUUCUUGUGGGUAACUAAUUUUCAUUUCCUUGCAAUGCAGUGAUCUCUCAAGCAAUCAUUUAACAGGACCAGUUCCAGUCAAUGGUUCCUUUUCGCUUUUUACUCCUAUAAGGUGUGUCAGAAGCACAAGUUUGUUGUUACUUUCUGUUCCUGAAGUAACAAAAGUGAUUAUCUAACUAUAGAGUACCUAUAUUUCAGUUUUGCUAAUAAUCAAUUGGAAGUUCCUCCAGCUUCUCCGCCUCCUCCUCUUCCUCCUACACCCUCAUCUUCUUCUUCAGGUUUGUUAAGAUUAUUUGUGUAUAUACUGUUAUGAAACUGUGCUACCUCUCGUUUUUCUUUUUCCAAGUUAGUUUUUGUGAAAAGAACCCUUUAGAUUAUUCACGAGAAGGGGAGCAGGCUAUGGGAAGAAAGGAAAGGCCUGGUUGCCUGGGGAAGAGAACAAACAGGAUUCCCUUAUGAAAGCAGUUACAAAUAAAAGCUAUUAUUAUUUUGGGCACUAAUAAAUAUUGUUAGCUUUUUUAGAUCAGUUGUGCAGGUGUUGGUGUUGGAGUCUUGUUGUAAUCUAGCACACAUGACUUCCAAACUAAACUUUUCAACUCUGCAUCUUUUUUUCUUUUUUCGGAAAUUAGAUUUACUGUAAACUCUGUAGUUGAGUGGUAGUGUGUCAAAAGUACCUUAUAUUAUUUAGAAUUGCUUGUAUAUUUAAAUUCAGGUCAUACAAAUAAAAAGUUAAAUCAGCUUAUGUAUUGGAAACUCGAUCAUCUUUUCAGUGGGCAACAGUGCAACUGGAGCCAUCGCUGGAGGAGUUGCUGCAGGCGCUGCUCUUCUAUUUGCAGCUCCUGCAAUUUUUCUUGUUUGGUGGCGUCGGAGGAAACCACAAGAUCACUUCUUUGAUGUUCCUGGUUCGGACACAAACUGAAAUUUGAGUUAAUUGUACUUUCCACUUGAUGUGUUCUUACUAAGUUAUUAUAAUUGCUUUUUGCAGCUGAGGAAGAUCCAGAAGUUCAUCUAGGACAACUCAAGAGGUUUUCCUUGCGUGAACUACAAGUUGCAUCAGAUAAUUUUAGCAAUAGAAAUAUACUUGGUAGAGGUGGAUUUGGUAAGGUUUAUAAGGGCCGGUUAGCUGAUGGCUCUUUAGUUGCAGUGAAAAGACUGAAAGAGGAACGUACUCAAGGUGGGGAGUUACAGUUUCAGACAGAAGUAGAAAUGAUCAGCAUGGCUGUACACCGAAAUCUACUUCGUUUAAGGGGCUUUUGCAUGACUCCCACUGAGCGCGUGCUUGUUUAUCCAUACAUGGAGAACGGAAGUGUUGCAUCACGUUUAAGAGGUAUCUCUUGUUUUUUUUUAAUUUUCCUGCACUUGCCUCUAGCUUUUGCUCACUUCUAGUCAGGCGAAAUGGAUUAAACACAGAAAAAGCCAAUAGCUACUCAAAAUGAUAAGCCUGUGAUCUUUAAUUUCUCUUUCAUAAAUUUGUAACAGAUUUGAAGAAGUUACUGCAGAAGUGGAAGCCAAUAGCUAUUUGAUAUGUUAGUGGUUGAGUCUUUUAUGACUUCUCAUGAUGGACUGUAUAUUUAACAAGUCGAUGUUGUCUUAUGAUUUUGCUAGUAUUCUAUGAUUCUAUCAACCAAUUUCACAAGUGGUUCUAUCUUUGAUAUCUUACUGAAUAUUAAAGAUUUGAGUUGCUGAUUAAGAUGUGAUUUUAUGAUCACAUUUGUAAGUCAACCAAACAAUUAGAUGUCUUAAAAAAGAGAAUUAAUAUAAUUAUUGUAUGAAGCUGGAGAUAAUGAUGCCUUAUAACUUGGAAUUGGAGCCUUGGAGCAACGGUAAAGUUGUAUCCGUGUGAUCUAUUGGUCACGGGUUUUGAGCGGUGGAAGAAAUCACUAAUGCUCGCAGUAGGGUAGGUUGUCUACAUCACAUCCCUUGGGGUGCGGCCAUUCCCCGGACCUUGCGUGAACGCAAGAUGCCCUGUGCAUUGGGCUACCCUUUUUAAAGUUAUAUUGAACUGAAAAGAUCAGUUUUUCUUCUUAAAACUUAUUCAAACUUAAAAUAGGAACCUUUUUCUAGUUCGCGUAAUAGCUUGAAUUUAUUCUUAUGGAUGAUUUACAUUCUUGUAGAGCGGCCAGAAUCGGAGCCCCCACUUGACUGGCCAAAAAGGAAGCAUAUUGCACUUGGGUCGGCAAGAGGCCUUGCUUACUUGCAUGAUCAUUGUGAUCCUAAGAUUAUUCAUCGUGAUGUCAAAGCCGCAAAUAUCUUAUUGGAUGAGGAUUUUGAAGCAGUUGUUGGGGAUUUUGGGUUAGCUAAACUCAUGGACUACAAGGAUACUCACGUUACCACUGCUGUACGUGGUACAAUUGGGCAUAUUGCCCCUGAAUAUUUAUCCACUGGUAAAUCUUCUGAGAAGACGGAUGUGUUUGGCUAUGGGGUUAUGCUGCUAGAGCUCAUAACUGGCCAAAGGGCUUUUGAUCUUGCUCGACUUGCAAAUGAUGAUGAUGUCAUGUUACUUGAUUGGGUAAGCAUUUAUACUGUCCUAUAUGCUUUUGUUGUUUUGCUUGAUCGACAUUUUGGAUUUUUUCUGAAAAUCUCAAGCCAACUGUCUCUUCUCUUUUUUAAGUAAGUUUGAUAUCGUUUUCUACUGUAGUGUUAGUUGUUCAGCACUGCUGGGCUCCCUGAAGAUAUAGUUAGUUUCAAGAACUACAUCAAUGCUUAUUAAUUGUUGUGGUUUUAUAUUGUGCAAGUAACCGUUGUAUUGCAAUACACUGUAACUUCAUUUUAGUUUUAGAUGUUUCAAAAGAAAACCUGUUAUUGCUAAAAUCGCAGAAGCAUGUAGAUUAUGAUUAGAGCGAAUUACUUUCAUCAUCUCAUACUUGCAGGUGAUUCAACAGUUCAGACUGCCAAAUCAUUCCGUCAUGUUGUCACUCACUAGUGUAGAAAUUUGCACCUCCAUUUGAUUUAUACGUAGCCUAAUUAGUUAGUUUGCACAUCCUAGUAAUAUAAUCAAUUUUUGCCUGUGGGAGCACACUUCUCACUUCUGAGUGCUCUCUGAAGAUUAGAAAAAUGUAACUUUAUUCAUUUUCAUUCAAACAUAGCAAGCUACCUCCGCAACUGCUAAAUUAAUGGCACUUGAAUUAUGUUGUUUUACUUGCUUUUAUAGUCAAAGCUUUCACUCGUGAAGUUACAUGCACGGCCGAAAUUGGCUAUAACAGCAUUCCACUGGAUAUUCAGGUGAAGGGACUCCUGAACGACAAGAAAUAUGAAACAUUAGUUGAUGCCGAUCUCCAAGGUAAUUACAAUGAAGAAGAGGUGGAGCAGCUUAUUCAGGUAGCUCUACUCUGCACGCAGAGUACGCCUACAGAACGUCCAAAGAUGUCAGAAGUUGUUAGAAUGCUUGAAGGCGACGGCCUUGCUGAGAGGUGGGAGGAAUGGCAAAAGGAGGAGAUGUUCAGGCAAGAUUACAACCAUGUCCACCAGCCCCAUACUGAUUGGAUAAUAGCCGACUCCACUUCAAAUAUCCGACCUGAUGAAUUGUCGGGGCCAAGAUGAUUUUUCAGUUAAUACUGCCAUCAGCACAUAUAGGACUGACUCUUUUGAGGGAAAAUCCUCUUUGUAUCUGUAGUUGGUAAUUGUCAUCUUUGUGCAUACCAUUUUCCUUCUUUUCCAAGAUGAAUUGUCGGGGCCAAGAUGAUCUUUCAGUUAUACUGCCAUCAGCACAUAUAGGACUGACUCUUUUGAGGGAAAAUCCUUUUUGUAUCUGUAGUUGGUAAGUGUCAUCUUUGUGCAUACCAUUUUCCUUCUUUUCCGUUUUUUGUUUCUUUCAGUCAGUUAUACUGUAUUCGAUUACGUCAAAAUGUCCAUAGGUGAUUGGGUCAUUACAGGUCUGAAUAUGAAAGUUAGCCGGAAUGGCGUUUGUUAAAAGAAUAAACUUCAAGUUUUCACAAUUUCUUUCGUUUCAUGUUCACCGGCAGUUUGUUGAUUCUUGUUUUGACAAGCUAUGGCUGAUUUUGUAGUAUAAUAUGCCAACGAGCAAUGCUCCUCUGGCAAAGUAUAAGUUAUAGUCAUACAACACCGUGGUCCAUGUCUCAUCAUAAUUCAUACCUCGGUGUUUGUCUCAUCCAAAAUGUUAAAAAGGAGCAUUGUGAUUCUGGACUGUAUGCCUUUCUAAAAAUAAUAGAUGGAAAAUAUAUAUAUUUUUUGUAUAUAUAUACAUUUAAAAAUUAUA